CAAGAUUACGGUGGCUACCUUUCCCGCUCAAUUCUAGUCUCAAAAUGUUGAAUUACCUAUGGUCACUCCCUCUAACUUAAAAAAUACACCUUUAUAUUCUCCUUCACCCAUUGUCAGGGUUAUGCUUGACCUCUCAUUUCAUACUCAAAACUUUACCAUUCUAGUCCACCCAACAAUGCAGCACCUACCUGAGGGACACAUUACUUGCGAGAUACCUAUGCCACUAGUAUAUGCUACUGAAUAUUCCACUUUUGCAACAUCUACAGUUGUUAAAAUUCCAUAUGAGGUCGAUCGGCAUGCGGGGUCGGGGAAGGAUUUCCUAUCAAAUAAAUAAGGGUUGAAACUAUGUUAGUUUGGGAAAAGAAAGCUUUUAGAAACACGCAAUUCACCAGGGGGACUGAAAGCAUAGACUAUGAUGACUUGUGCAUCCAUCCAGUCAUUGAUAUGCUAGUCGAGUACAAACCACCAAAGUUUGAUGUGUUUAAUGGAAAGAGUGACCCACAUGCACAUCUAAAGUCCUAUUGUGACAUAUUGGUCGGCAUAGAAAGGAACAAGAAGUAAGGAAUGAAGUUGUUCAUUCAGAGUCUGUCAGGGAUGCUCUGACUUGGUAGAAUUGACAAGACCAUCGUAUAUGGCAUGAUUGGCAGGAAAUGGUUGAAUAUUUCAUGAGUCCUUUCAGGUUUAACAGCGAAAUCACCCCAUAUAGCUUCUCAUCGGCUAACAUAUAGAAAAUUCAUUGGACUCAUUUCAAGAAUAUAUAUGGUGAUAGAGGAUUGAGGCUGCUAGGAUCCAACCCCCACUAGACGAGAAUGAGCUGUCCAAAUACUUUAUUCGAGAUCAAGAAGGUGUUUAUUUUGACAAGAUUAUGUCAAUGAUGGGCGAAAAGUUUGCAAAGCUAGUCAAGAUGGGAGACUUUAUAGAAAAAGGCAUCAAGUCAGAAAAUAUCCAGUCUAUGGUUGCGUUGCAAGCUGCGAGUAAAGCCAUACAGUCUGUUUCCAUUGGUGGUAAUAAGAAGAAGAAACAAAAUAUCUCAACCAUCACAACAUACUACCAAUAUGGAAAUUCUUUCUAUCGUUACCCUAAUAAUCCCAAGAUUAUUGCACAUGUUCCAGUGUACAAUACUCAACCACAUUAUAAUUCACCUUGAGCUCCAACACACCAAAAUUUGCCAAUACCAUACGCCCCUGGCCAAGCUCCAGCUCACACAAAUAGAGAAGCACAUGCACCAAGACCUCAUCCUGUUAUAACUCGAACCAGCCCUAACCGUGACGGGCAUCCCGAACCAUAGUGGCCCGAGCCCUCUUUUCUUUCUAAAAACCAAGUACAUCAUUCAAAAAAUAUAAGAGAUGCGGAAGUUUCAACAUACGGUCACAUUGUCACUUUAAUAGAUCAACUGAACAAAUCCAAAGAUGAAAUUUCAUAAACUCCUAACAGUACUUAACACCAGUCUAUGAAAUCUCUAAUACUUCAAACCAACAUCUUACUUAAACUGGAACAAGGCCCCCAGUUGGACCAAUACCAAAAUGAAAUAACAAUACUCUAAGAUUGGCCUUCUGAAGUAAGGGAGGGCUCACCAACUGUACACUUUGUCUGUCAAAAUCUACGGUCUAGCAGGACCCCUGGACUGAGCCUCAGAUCCUGAAAUAUAGGAAGUCAAUAUAGAAGUAUUGGUAUGCAGAUUAAUCCAAAAACAAAAUACAACUUUUAUAAAACAUAGGUGAGAGCUAUUAUAAAACACGUUAAUGCAAAAUCAUUUGAAAACACAUGGGCAUAGUAUAAUGAUUUUNNNNNNNNNNNNNNNNNNNNNNNNNNNNNNNNNNNNNNNNNNNNNNNNNNNNNNNNNNNNNNNNNNNNNNNNNNNNNNNNNNNNNNNNNNNNNNNNNNNNNNNNNNNNNNNNNNNNNNNNNNNNNNNNNNNNNNNNNNNNNNNNNNNNNNNNNNNNNNNNNNNNNNNNNNNNNNNNNNNNNNNNNNNNNNNNNNNNNNNNNNNNNNNNNNNNNNNNNNNNNNNNNNNNNNNNNNNNNNNNNNNNNNNNNNNNNNNNNNNNNNNNNNNNNNNNNNNNNNNNNNNNNNNNNNNNNNNNNNNNNNNNNNNNNNNNNNNNNNNNNNNNNNNNNNNNNNNNNNNNNNNNNNNNNNNNNNNNNNNNNNNNNNNNNNNNNNNNNNNNNNNNNNNNNNNNNNNNNNNNNNNNNNNNNNNNNNNNNNNNNNNNNNNNNNNNNNNNNNNNNNNNNNNNNNNNNNNNNNNNNNNNNNNNNNNNNNNNNNNNNNNNNNNNNNNNNNNNNNNNNNNNNNNNNNNNNNNNNNNNNNNNNNNNNNNNNNNNNNNNNNNNNNNNNNNNNNNNNNNNNNNNNNNAGAGUGACCCACAUGCACAUCUAAAGUCCUAUUGUGACAUAUUGGUCGGCAUAGAAAGGAACAAGAAGUAAGGAAUGAAGUUGUUCAUUCAGAGUCUGUCAGGGAUGCUCUGACUUGGUAGAAUUGACAAGACCAUCGUAUAUGGCAUGAUUGGCAGGAAAUGGUUGAAUAUUUCAUGAGUCCUUUCAGGUUUAACAGCGAAAUCACCCCAUAUAGCUUCUCAUCGGCUAACAUAUAGAAAAUUCAUUGGACUCAUUUCAAGAAUAUAUAUGGUGAUAGAGGAUUGAGGCUGCUAGGAUCCAACCCCCACUAGACGAGAAUGAGCUGUCCAAAUACUUUAUUCGAGAUCAAGAAGGUGUUUAUUUUGACAAGAUUAUGUCAAUGAUGGGCGAAAAGUUUGCAAAGCUAGUCAAGAUGGGAGACUUUAUAGAAAAAGGCAUCAAGUCAGAAAAUAUCCAGUCUAUGGUUGCGUUGCAAGCUGCGAGUAAAGCCAUACAGUCUGUUUCCAUUGGUGGUAAUAAGAAGAAGAAACAAAAUAUCUCAACCAUCACAACAUACUACCAAUAUGGAAAUUCUUUCUAUCGUUACCCUAAUAAUCCCAAGAUUAUUGCACAUGUUCCAGUGUACAAUACUCAACCACAUUAUAAUUCACCUUGAGCUCCAACACACCAAAAUUUGCCAAUACCAUACGCCCCUGGCCAAGCUCCAGCUCACACAAAUAGAGAAGCACAUGCACCAAGACCUCAUCCUGUUAUAACUCGAACCAGCCCUAACCGUGACGGGCAUCCCGAACCAUAGUGGCCCGAGCCCUCUUUUCUUUCUAAAAACCAAGUACAUCAUUCAAAAAAUAUAAGAGAUGCGGAAGUUUCAACAUACGGUCACAUUGUCACUUUAAUAGAUCAACUGAACAAAUCCAAAGAUGAAAUUUCAUAAACUCCUAACAGUACUUAACACCAGUCUAUGAAAUCUCUAAUACUUCAAACCAACAUCUUACUUAAACUGGAACAAGGCCCCCAGUUGGACCAAUACCAAAAUGAAAUAACAAUACUCUAAGAUUGGCCUUCUGAAGUAAGGGAGGGCUCACCAACUGUACACUUUGUCUGUCAAAAUCUACGGUCUAGCAGGACCCCUGGACUGAGCCUCAGAUCCUGAAAUAUAGGAAGUCAAUAUAGAAGUAUUGGUAUGCAGAUUAAUCCAAAAACAAAAUACAACUUUUAUAAAACAUAGGUGAGAGCUAUUAUAAAACACGUUAAUGCAAAAUCAUUUGAAAACACAUGGGCAUAGUAUAAUGAUUUUUAACAAUAAUGCAGCACUAUGAAGCUAGAUGGUAUACCCUACAAUUUCACAUUUUCACCGACUGCCAAAUAUCAGUUGCCUCCAAGAUUGGAGCACUAGUGAGGGAAGGACACACAAGAUCAUAUAGCAGGGUGCCACAACCCCAAUCAAGUCAAUAUGCCAUGGUUGGGCUUGAGAUCACAAAGCAGGGCUCCUAGCUAUAGGUCCCAAGUUAGGAUGACAUAGUACUAGGUACGUAAGAUCACAUAGCAAGGUACCGAAUUCCCGUGUCGGCAAAUCACAGUUUCUAGCAUAGAGUCAUCUAACUCGUACUUUCUUUGGGUAACCAUCUAACUCACAUCAAUCAAGCUUUAAGUAUGAUAUAUAAGGAAAACAUGCAUCAUGCUCACAACAUUGUUUUCUUCUUUUUAUUCGAGGAAAUUCCUCCAUGGGGUAUCGACAUACCCCGACUUGUAAGUCAUCAGUACCACAUCAAUUCUCAAAACUUCUUAUACAAAUCAUAGUAUGAACACCAACAAGACUCCCAUACACUAACACAUAUAUAAGGAUUCCCAACACGUAAUAGUCAAGAAACUUCAUCAUUUAUAAAGUAGUACAAUAGUGGAUAUAAAGCCAUGGUCUCAGUAGUUUAACAAUAGUAUAAUGUGGAGUACAUAAAGCAUCAUCAUAGGGAUUAAAAGAUUCACAACUCAUGUUCAUAACACCUUUCAAAAUUCAAAUCACAUAUCCACCAUUUAACAAUUAAGAUAUAUAGGCAAACAACCCCAUAAUCUUCCAAUAUUCUUCUCAAAACCAUAUCACAAUGCAUGAUUUUUGUGUUUAAAAUGAAAACCCACUUAUAAUUGCAUACAUACUUAAGUAAUUAUUAAAAUCUUGUUUAAAUUCGUAUCAAAAUCAUGCCCAUGAGAUUAGGACAACCCCACGUACCUUAUUUUGUUAAGUAGAGAGAGAGAAACCCAAAUCUUAGUUGAGUCUUGGGAGUUCUUGACCUUGAGGAUGAACUUUGAUCUCUCGGGAAUGAAUUAGGGUUUUGAUAUUAAGAGAAUAAGAGAGGGUUUUGAUGAAUUAUGCUCUCCUUAAGUUAAAAAUUAUGUUAUGACUGAGUUAUGAUGAGGAAAAAUAGACUAAAAUACCUCUCCUGGCCAGAAUUUAAUAGAAAAAAAUGUGAAUUGGCACUCGACGCAUAAAUCUACGCGAUGCAUCGAUAUUGCGUUGGUCCAUUGUUUCAUCGACGCAACCAUCAAUAUGGUGCAUCAAAUUUGCGUCAAGCCACUGUUUCCAACAUUCGAACACACCUCUAAUGUUGCCCAGAAAAUUUGAAACUUCCCUGACACAUCUUUUUUACUCCCCCGAUCAUGAAUCAACUUAAAAAUCCAUAUCUCAAGGUUGGAAAAAUUAAUUUAAAAAUAACAAAAGUUUAGGAGCUUCAAAUAUGACUAAGUCCUUUUGAUACUUAGGAAAUUUUUAGAUGAUUAACCCUUUAAGAAUGCUACGAAGUGAGAUAUUAAGUCGAGGAAACCACAAGGUGUUACAUUAUCCCCCCCUGGGAUCAUGCAUCCCCGAAUGGUGGCUCGAAAUACAAUCAAGCACAACUUCAAACAUACUAGGGAAAAGAUAAAGAGAGUAGAAUAUGGCUCGUACCAUUUAGGUUGCCAUCUAAAGUCUCAAAGAGGGUUGGGUAUCUUAUCCACAUAUCAUCUUCUGAUUCCCAAGUAGCUUCCUCAUAUUUUUGAUUUCCCCAAAGCACCUUAACCGAAGCUAUUUCCCUAUUCCUUAGUUUCCAAACUUGGCAGUCUAAGAUAGGAAUAGGAUUUUCUUCUUAUGAUAAAGAGUCUGUCACCUUGAUAUCCUCUAUAGGCAACACUAGGGAAUGGUCUCCAAUGUACUUUUUUAGCAUGGACACAUGGAAUACUGAAUGAACAGAAGUCAAACUUGUGGCAAUUCUAACUUAUAAGCAACACUACCUAUCCUUCUCACAAUAUGGUACGGUCCUAUAUAGCGAGGGCUCAUCUUUCCUUUCUUCCCAAAUCAUAUGACUCCCUUCAUAGGGGAGACUUUUAGAAACACCCAAUCACCUACCUCAAAUUCCAGCUCUCUUCUCCUAACAUCGGCGUAGGAUUUCUGGCGACUCUGAGCUAUUUUUAGUUGUUCUCAAAUGAUUUUCACCUUCUCCAUUGCCUGAUGAACAAGAUCAGGCCCAAACAACCAUGUUUCACCCACCUCAUACCACCCAAUCAAUGAUCUAUAUCUUUUCCUAUAAAGUGCUUCAAAAGGAACCAUCUUAAUGCUCGCAUGGUAGCAAUUAUUGUAGCCGAACUCUAUCAAAGGAAAAUGAUCUACCCAACUACCCUUGAAGUCAAUUGCACAGGCCCUCAACAUAUCCUCUAAGUGUAAAUAAUGCAUUCAACUUGCCCAUCGAUCUGAGGGUGGAAUGCAGUAACAGGUUUACUUGGGUACCUAAACCCCUCUAAAAAGAUCGCCAAAAUUGUAUAGAGAAUUGCGUACCUUGAUCGGAUAUAAUGGAUACAGGUGCCCCAUGCAAGCAAACUAUUUCCUCAAUGUAUAACUUGGCAUAAUCAUCUCCCGAAUAGUUAGUCCCUACAGGUAAAAAGUGAGCUGACUUGGUCUUCCGGUCCACAAUUACCCAAAUGGAACCAUAUUGGUUUCGGGACCUCAGAAGUCCCGUGAUGAAAUCCAUAUUGAUCAUCUCUCAUUUCCAUAUAGGCAAGGAUAUUUCUUGGGAAGUACCACCCGGUCUCAAAUGUUCCACUUUAGCUUGUUGGCAAUUCAAACACUUGGAAACAAAAUUAGCAACAUCACGCUUCAUAUUAUUCCACUGAUAUAUAGCUUUAAGAUCAUGGUACAUUUUAGUAGAUCCUGGGUGAACAAUAUACCUCAAAGUGUAAGACUCAUCGAGGAUCCUCUCUCGCAAACCAUCCACAUUCGGUACACACAGCCUGCCUUGGUACCUCAAAAUACUAUCAUUGCCAAUUUUAAAUGCCAUCACCUUCUGUUGACCCACAUCGUUCUUAAUCUACAUCAAGAUGGGGUCUUCGGCUUGUUUCUUCUUAACUUCAUCAAAUAGGGAAGAUUUAGCUAUCUCAUCCACCACUACUCCUCCAUCUUCGGAGUCUAGAAGUUGCACCGAUUUGUAAGUCGGCGAAUAUAUUUUGCCAUCCCCCUUUUUCCUUCCUCAAUAUAAGAAAAAUUGCCCAUAGAUAAUCUACUGAGGGCGUCGGCCACCACAUUCGCCUUGCUCGGAUGAUAGUGCAGGCUCAUGUCAUAAUCCUUCAAUAGUUCCAACUACCGCCUUUGACUAAGAUUCGAUUCUUUCUGUGAAAAGACAUACUGUAAACUUUUAUGGUGAGUGAAAAUAUCAACAUGUACCCUAUAAAGAUAAUGCCGCUACAUUUUAAGUGCAAACACCACAAUUGCUAACUCCAAGUCAUGGGUGGGGUAGUUUCACUCAUGCACCUUCAGCUGACUAAAUGCAUAAGCUACCACCUUACCAUGCUGUAUAAGAGUACACCCAAAUGCCACUCGGGAUGCAUCACAGUACACAACAAAACCCUUUGUACCUUCAGGAAGAGUCAAAACAGGUGCAGUAGUAAACUUGUCUUUCAACUUCUCAAAACUAUUCUCGCAGGAGUAAGGCCAUACAAAUUUCACCUUUUUAUAUAUCAAUCUAGUAAGUAGAGUAGCUAUGGAAGAAAAACUUUCACUGAACCGUCUGUAAUACCCUACCAAACCCAAGAAGCCCUAGAUAUCGGUUGGAGUCAUGGGUCUGGGCCAUUUUCUCAAUGUCUCAAUCUUUUGGGGAUCAACUUUAAUUCCGUCACUCAACAUAAUGUAACCCAAGAAGGCAAUAGCACUAAGCCAAAAUUCACACUUAGAAAUUUUGCGUACAAUUUAUGAUCUUUGAGGGUCUGGAGAAUAAUUCGGAGGUGACUGACAUGAUCCUCCUUACUAUUAGAAUAAAUCAAAAUAUCAUCAAUUAAAACUAUGAAAAACCGAUCUAGAAACUGGCAGAACACCCUAUUCAUUAGGUCCAUGAAAGUUGCAGGGGUGUUAGUCAAUCCGAAGGACAUGACUAAGAAUUCAUAAUGGCCAUAUCUGGUUUGGAAAGUCGUUUUAGGAAUAUCAUCCUCCCUAACCUUCAAAUAAUGAUAUCCUGAACAAAGGUCUAUCUUGGAGAAACACUUAGCACCCUAAAGUUGGUCAAACAAAUCAUCAAUUCUGGGAAGACAGUAUUUGUUCUUAACUGUGACCUUAUUCAGUUGACGGUAGUCUAUACACAUGCGAAGGGAGUCAUUUUUCUUAUGCACGAAGAGUAUGGAUGCAUCCCAAGGAGAAACAUUAGGACGAAUAAAACCCUUGUCAAGAAGAUCUACUAAUUGCUCUUUCAACUCUUUUAACUCAGUAGGAGCCAUUCUAUAUGGCGAAAUGGAAAUAGGAUGGGUGUCUGGCAAUAAGUCAAUACCAAAAUUUAUCUCCCUAUCAGGUGGUAGAUCAUGGGGAAAAAAUUCUAGAAAUUUGUUGACUAUGGGGACAGACUAAAGAGAAGGAUUUUUGGUAUUAGAAUCUUUUCUUCGAAUCAAAUAAUACAAACAACCCUUAGAUAUAAGUUUUUAGGAUCUAAGGUAGGAGAUGAAUUCCCCUUUGGGUGCUAAAGAAUACCCCUCCCACUUUACCACCGGUUCAUUUAGAAAAGAGAAAGUGACCUUUUGGGUUUUAUAAUCUAGCAUGGCAAAGCACGAAUGGGGCCAAUCCAUCCCUAAAAUAGCAUCAAAAUCAACCAUAUCAAGCUCUACAAGGUCAGAUACAGUAUCACAAUUAUAGACAAACACGACACAAUUCUUGUACACUCUCCUAGCCACAAUGGAGUAACCAACAGGAGUAGAAAUAGAAAAGGGUUCUGAAAUAUCCUCAAGCUCAAAACCAAAACUGACUACCAUAUAUGAGGUCACAUAAGACAAGGUAGACCCUGGGCCAAGUAACACAUAUACAUUACGGGAAAAUAUUUGCAACAUACGCGUGACUAUAUCUAGUGAAGCCUAUGCAUCCUGGAGAUUGGACAAAGCAUAGAACUGAUUGCGACUGCUUCCAGUAGCUGAAGUAGCACCCUUAGAAGGAGGAGCUAUAGAGGUGGCUUGGGACUUAGCCCCCCCUGCAUUACCUCCGAUAGAAGGGGAAUCUCUCAGAAUGUGGCCCACUUUGCCACAUGAGUAACAAUUUCUCCUCUCGAAGUAACACUUCCCCAAGUAAUUCUUCCCACAGGUACUACAACAGGGAAAAGAUUUGGCAAGAUGCAUCACGCUCCCCUGGGAACGGGUGUCCUGCAUCCUCCAAGCACUAUUAGCCUGAGGACUGAAGGGCUACUAAUCACAUGGAGGCCUGGGUGCUGGGGUGCUGACCGAAGGCUGCGCAUUACCCCAAUUCAAUUUAUUCAAGCACCUGUUACCCCGAUCUCCAUCCUGACGUUGAUUGUAGUUCUGAUCUGAAGAUCUAUCCCUCUUGGCCUGUCUAUCUUUCUCCCUUGCUUCAGCAGCCCUGUUUUUCUGAUCCUCAACCUACUAUAUGUGAACGAACAAUCUGGAGAUGUCCAUAUCUCUAUUCAAUAUUUCCUUUUUGCACUCCAACACCAAGUCAUCCAAAAGACCAAAUGCAAACUUCCUCAUACGAGCCCUCAUGUUUCCCGCAAAUUCCGGAGCAUAGUGGGAUAGUUGAUUAAAUUUCAAGGUGUACUCCUUAACGCUCAUCUUUCCUUGUUUAAAAUUCAUGAACUCUUUAGCCUUGGACUCCCUCAACUCCUGGAGAAAGAAUUGAUCCAGGAAAACUUUCACGAAUUUUCCCCAUAUAGAAGGCUCAACAUUAUCACCCAUCGAAACUUCCCAUUUAGUAUACCACUGAUUGGCUACCUCCUUCAGUUGAUAGGCCACUAGUUUAACCCCUUCUACUUUAUCCACAUGCACCACUCAAAAAAUUUUCUCUAUCUCGUCCACAAACUCUUGUGGAUCCUCCUCUACCUUAGUACCCGAAAAUUUAGGUGGGUUUAACCUCAUGAACUGACCCGCCCGUGCAGUCUCGGAUACACCAGACGUAAACCCAACAUCAUGUGAGGAUCGGGUCUAUGAGGCCACCAACCAGGCAGUCAUAUCCAUCGACUGUCUGAACUCAGAAUUUGAUAUAUCCCUCUAGGAGAUUGGGGGUGGUUAGUCCCAGACUGGGGAGCCCUAGGUGACAUGGGUGGACUAGUCUAAACAGGAGGGACUCCUGGAGUAGCAACAAAUUCAAAAGUGUGACCCCUAUUAUGAAUUCUCAUUCCAUGAGUAGAACGAACAUCUUUAGUUUAGGCAUUCUGUUCAUUGGAGCGACGUGGAGGCAUGAUAGCUUUUCUAAAAUACAAGAGACCACUGAUUAGGGAACAUCCAAACUCUACAACACGAACUAAAUCUCAAAGACGGGAGACAUUCCUAAAUGCCUAGUAGCCUCAUGCUUAUAAUUAUGGGGCGCUACACACCAAUAAACAAGACUCUACCAGAUGCAAUUUCGCAAACACCCUGGGACCAUGAACCGUGCUCUGAUACCAAGUUUGUCACGACCCAAACUAGGCCCUGGCCGUGAAAAACAUCCCAAACCAUAGUGACCCAAGCCUUUUUUCUAUCUGACAACCAAGUACAUCAUUCAAACAAAUCUAAAGAUAAAAUUUCAUAAACUCCUAACAGUACUUAACACCAGUCUAUGAAAUCUCUAAUACAUUAAACCAACAUCUUACUUAAAACUGGGACAAGGCCCCCAGUUGGAACAAUACCAUAAUGAAAUAACAAUACUCUAAGAUUGGCCUUUCGAAGUAAGGGAGGCUCACCAACUGCACACUUUUGUUUGUCAAAAUCAAUGGUCUAGCAGGACCCCUUGACUGAGCCUCAGACCCUGAAUAUAGGGGUUCAAUACAGAAGUACUGGUACACAGAGUAAUCCAAAAACAAAAUACAACUUUUAUACAACAUAUGUGAGAGCUAUUAUAAAACACGUUAACACAAAAUCAUUUGAAAACACAUGGGCAUAGUAUAAUGAUUUUUAACAAUAAUGCAGCACUAUGGAGCUAGAUGGUACACCCUACAAUUUCAUAUUUUCACAGAAUACCAAAUCUCGAUUGCUGCCAAAAUUGGAGCACUAGUAAGAGAAGGACACACAAGAUCACACAGCAGGGUGCCACAACCCUAAUCAAGUCAAUAUGUUAUGGUUGGGCUCGAGAUCAUAAAGCAGGGCUCCUAACCAUAGGUCCCCAGUUGGGAUGACAUAGUACUAGGUACAUACGAUCAAAUAGCAGGGUACCAAGUUCCUUGUCUGCAAAUCACGGUUUCCAGCAUAGAGUCAUCUGACUCGUGCUUUCUUCGAGUAACAUCUAACUCACAUCAAUCAAGUUUUAAGUUUGAUAUAUAAGGAAAACAUGCAACAUGCUCACAACAAUCUUUUCUACAUUUCAUUUGAGACAAUUUUCUUCUUUUCUUCUUUUCACGACCCAAACCAGGCCCUGGUUGUGAUGGGUAUCCCGAACCAUAGUAGAUCGAGCCCUUUUUACUUUCUGACAAUGAAGUACAUCAUUCAAAAAAUAUAAGAGAUAUGGAAGUUUCUACAUACAGUCACAUGGUCACUUUAAUAGAUCAACUAAACAAAUCCAAAGAUGAAAUUUCAUAAACUCCUAACAGUACUUAACACCAGUCUGUGAAAUCUCUAAUACAUCAAACGACCAUCUUACUUUAAACUGGGACAAGUCCCCAGUUGGACCAAUACCAUAAUGAAAUAACAAUACUCUAAGAUUGGCCUUUCGAAGUAAGGGAGGCUCACCAACUGCACACUUUUGUUUGUCAAAAUCAAUGGUCUAGCAGGACCCCUUGACUGAGCCUCAGACCCUGAAAUAUAGGGGUUCAAUACAGAAGUACUGGUACACAGAGUAAUCCAAAAACAAAAUACAACUUUUAUACAACAUAUGUGAGAGCUAUUAUAAAACACGUUAACGCAAAAUCAUUUGAAAACACAUGGGCAUAGUAUAAUGAUUUUUAACAAUAAUGCAGCACUAUGGAGCUAGAUGGUACACCCUAUAAUUUCAUAUUUUCACCGACUGUCAAAUCUCGGUUGACACUAAGAUUAGAGAACUAGUGAGGGAAGGACACAGAAGAUCAUACAUCAGGGUGCCACAACCCCAAUCAAGUCAAUAUAUCAUGGUUGGGCUUGAGAUCACAAAGCAGGGCUCCUAGCCAUAGGUCCCGAGUUGGGAUGACAUAGUACUAGGUACGCAAGAUCACAUAGUAGGGUAUCAAGUUCUCGUGUUGGUAAAUUACAGUUUCCAGCAUAGAGUCAUAUGGCUCAUGCUUUCUUCGAGUAACCAUCUAACUCACAUCAAUCAAGCUUUAAGUUUGAUAUAUAAGGAAAACAUGCAUCAUGCUCACAACAUUCUUUUCUUUUUUUCAUUCGAGGUAAUUUCUCCGUAGGGUAUUGACAUACCCCGACUUGCAAGUCAUCAGCACCACAUCAAUUCUCAAAACUUCUUAUACAUAUCAUAGUAUGAAUAUCAACAAGACUCCCAUACACCAACACAUGCAUAAUGAUUCCCAACACGUAAUAGUAAAAAAACUUCAUCAUUUAUAAAGUAGUACAAUAGAGGAUAUAAAACUCAUGCUCUUAGUAGUUUAACAAUAGUAUCAUGUGGAGUACGUAAAACAUUAUCAUGGGGAUUUAAAGAUUAACAACUCAUGUUCAUAACACCUUUCAAAAUUUAAAUCACAUGUCCACCAUUUCAAUAAGAUAUAUAGGCAAACAACCCCAUGAUCUUUUAAUAUUUAUCUCAGAACCAUAUCACAAUGCAUGCUUUUUGUGUUAAAAAUGAAACCCCACUUAUAAUUGCAUACAUACUUAAGUAAUUAUUAAAAUCUUUUUUAAAUUCAUAUCAAAAUUAUGCCCAUGAGAUUAGGACAACCCCACAUACCUUAUUUUGCUAAGUAGAGAGAGAGAAACCUAAAUCUUAAUUGAGUCUUGGGAGUUCUUGACCUUGAGGAUGAACUUUGAUCUUAGGGGAAUGGAUUAGGGUUUUGAUAUUGAGGGAAUAAGAGAGGUUUUUGAUGAAUUAUGCUCUCCUUAAGUUAAAAACUAUGUUAUGACUGAGUUAUGAUGGGAAAAAUAGACUAAAAUACCCCUCCUAGCCCAGAAUUUAAAAGAAAAAAUAUAAAAUGGCACUCGAUGCAUCGAUAUCACGUCGGUCCACUGUUUCAUCGAUGCGACCAUCGAUGCGACAUGACGACUUCACAUCGAGCCGCUAUUUCCAACAUCCAAACACACCUCUAACAUUGCCCAAAAAAUCUAAAACUUUCCCGACACAUCCCUUUUACUCCCCCGAUCAUGAAUCAUCUUAAAAAUCUAUAUCUCAAGGUUGAAAAAAUCAAUUUUAAAAUCACAAAAGUUUAGGAGCUUAAAAUAUGACUGUGUCCUUUUGAUACUUAGGAAAUUUUUAGAUGAUUAAACCUUCAAGCAUGCUACGAAGUGAGAUAUUAAGUCGAGGACACCACGUGGUGUUACACAUCCAAACCUUAAAGCCAGAAAUACCCGUACCUACAUACCAAUUGUUGAACCUUUGCCUUAAUUAAUUGAAAGGUUGAGGGCGGCAGGAUUGAUACAACCACUCCAAGGAAAAAACCCUAACCCAACCUCUCAAAAUUAUGAUAGUAACAAGUGGUGUUCUUAUCACUCAGGAUAUUGUGAAUAAUAAUCUUUUUCCAAAUCAUUGAAAUUGAGAAGUCAACGUGAUUUCUUUAGUGGAAGAGUAUGACUUGGAAGAAAAUAAUGUGCCUACAUGGAACACAGAAGAGGUUUUCUUUACAUCACCAGCACAAGCUUUUACCACAAUUCAGUUGAGGGAGCUAUUGACUAUUCAAACUUACCUUCCAUGAGUAAUGGUAACCACUUAGCCACUGGAGACCUGAUUAUAAAACUAAAACAAUCCCAUACUAUUACAGAGUAGAAGCCAAAGAAAAAUGAUAGAUAUUGAUGUGGCUUAGGGGAUGACCAGGUUAAAAAGGUGCUACGCUCUAGAAUAUAUAAAUCGAGGAGUUCCCAAGAAAAAGUGAAACCCAAAGAGAAAUAUUAUUGAUGUUGAAGUCGAAGAAUUUUGGAACAAAAUGUAUCCCAAGGACUAUUUGAUCGAAGAACAACUAAGGAAAAUGCCAGCCCACAUAUCCAUUAUGUUGUUAAUUAUAAGUUCUGAAACCCAUAUGAAUUUUUUAAAAGAAGUAUUAUGCAGAGUUAGCAUCUGAAAGAGACCACUAGUGAGACUUAGUCUACAACAAUAAGAUGAAUGGUAGAAGUGAGUAAGAUCUUUUUCCAUGAAGAUGAGUUGCCAUUAAAUGGAUCCGCACAUAACAAAGUAUUUCAUAUCACGGUUAGAUAUACUAAGAUCAUAAGUAGGAUUCUGAUCAAUGGUGGUUCUGGUUGUAACAUCUAUCCAUUCUCCACUCUAAAGGAUUUAGGGGUAAACAUAGAAGAUAUAAAGAAAAUUCAAGUAAAAGCAGAGCCUUUAUUGGAUCACAAAAAAAUUUCAUUGGAGAAAUCUAUCUAACAUUACAAGUAGGGCCAGCUGAAUUUCCUAUCUUAUUCCAAGUAAUGGAUGUAUCAUCCAGUUAAAACCUAUUACUGGAAAGGUCGUGGGUCCAUAUUGAAAGGGUAGUUCCCUCUACCCUCCAUUAGUGUACUAAAUUUGAGUGGGGUCACACAAAAUUUAUUGUCCAUGGGGAGUUAAAUCAUCCCAUUUAUUGUAUAAAUUCAGUUUCAGUCACUGAGAAGUUAGAUGGAUCUACUUUCCAUACUCUAGAGAUCAUGCAAGCUGCAAAGGUCGAUGAGAAGAUAAUGUUAGUUGAAGUAAAAUAUCGAAUACUGCAAAGAUGGUUGCAUCAGAGAUGUUGAAAUAUUGGUACCAUCCAAAAAAAGAAUAGGACCAAAAUCUGAUGGUAUAAUUGAGUCAAUCUAGCUAAAACAUCAGAGAGGUAUCACGGUACUUGGAUAUACUCCUGCUUCUGGGGAGUCUGUAGUAAAAGGUUAGGUAAGGCAUUGUUUGUGCCCGCCCAAAUUCUUGUUUUAGAGCGAGAAGUUGAUGAAGUAUCAUAAAAGGAAUAAAAAAUUGUUUGUGGUUGUGAUCGAAAGAGAAUCGGAGAUAGAUUUCAAGCAGCUUACUAUCCGUGAUGUUGAACCAAAAGAGGUCUUGCAGAAUUGGACCAUCACUCCAUCCCUAUUUCGACAUAAGUAUUGGUAGUGUGUAAUUAUAGUUGAUUUUAAUAUUAUUUUUGCAUGAUCAAUUGAGGCUUGAAUUAUGUUCAAUCUCUUCUUACUACUCGUCUCUUUCCAAAACCCAAGUGCUUUUCUACCGAUAAAAGUCCUUAUUUUGAAAAGUCAUUUUCCUAUUUUUCGUUAAUAUCUAUUUACAUUACUCACUUUUUAUGAUUUUCAGUGUUGAUAUUAGUGAUAAUGCUCAUGCCACGAUUAUGACAUGUAACAAAUUUUUCUAGCAAAAUAAAAGCAAUGAGCAACAUUAUAAGGAGUAUGAUGAAAUCAUAACGCCUGAAAACCUACCACAUGAGAUCAAGAAACUUGAAAGUAAAAAAACCCUAAUAUGGAUGAAAAUAAAAUUGUCAAUUUAGGUGAUGAGGAAAAAAUGAAGGAAAUACAGUUAGUAUACACUUGGAAGCUGAGAAGAAGCAGGAAUUGAUAAAAUUUCUCAAUCAAUACAUCGAUGUAAUUUAUUGGUCUUAGGAUGACAUGUUGGGUUUGAUCUCUUAUACCAUCUCACAUUGACUACUAAUUAACCCUGCAUCUCUACCUUCAAAGCAAAAGAUAAGGAAAUUGAAACCCAAUUUGAGUUUGAGAAUCAAGGAGAAGGUGACCAAACAGAUAGAAGCUAACAUCGUGAGGGUCACAAAUUACCCCACAUGGUUGGCCAAUAUUGUGUUGGUUCUAAAAAAGGAUGGGAAUAUAAGAAUAUGUGUAUACUAUUCGUAUCUCAACAAAGCUAGUACAAAGGAUGAUUUUGCUCUCCCAAACAUUCAUAUGCACAUUGAUAAUUAUGAAAAACAUGAGUUACAAUCAUGCGUUGAUUGUUUUGCAAGAUAUCAUCAAAUUUUGAUGAAUGGGGAUAAUGCAGAGAAAAUAGCCUUCAUCCAUUGGGAGUAUACUUGUUAUAGGGUAAUGCCAUUUAGACUCAAAAAUGUAGGAGCAACUUACAUGAGGGCCAUAACUAACCUUUUUCAUGAUAUGAUCGACAAAGAUAUCGUGGUAUAAGUGGAUAAUGUUUUUAUCAAGUAUAGAAAGAGUUUAGACCACCUGGAUGAUUUACGAAAAUUCUUGAAAAAGUUAUAAAGGUAUGACCUAAAGUUGAAUCCAGCCAAAUGCACCUUUGGAGUUACCGCGAGAAAUUAUUAGGAUUCAUUAUUAGUAGGAAAGGUAUUGAGUUGGAUCCAUCCAAGAUAAAGGCGAUCCAAGACUUAACACCCCCUAAGACCAAAAAGGAUGUAAUAAGUUUCUUAGGGAGGCUCAAUUACAUCAGUCGAUUUAUAGCCCAGUCUAUGAUAAUUUGUGAACCUAUAUUCAAUUUAUUGAAGAAAGAUGUCGCCACUGGAUGGAAUGAAGAAUGUCAAAUGGCUUUUGAUAAAAUCAAGGAGUACUUGUCCAACCCACUGAUAAUGGUUCCACCAAAGCCCGAGAAAUUAUUGCUAUUGUAUUUAUCUGUUAUGGAUAAUCAUUUGGACGUGUGUUUAGGCACAUAAUGAGACAGGAAGGAAAGAGCAAGCCAUUCACUACCUGAGUAAAAAGUCUACACCAUAUGAAGCAAGGUAUACAUUGUUGGAGCAUACCAAUUGUGCAUUGACUUAGGUUGCGCAAAAGUUGAGGCACUAACUAUCGUGUAUACCAUGCACUUGAUUUUAAGAAUGGAUCCACUCAAGUACCUCUUUUAAAAAUCAAUUCCUACUGGAAAAUUGGUAAAAUCGUAGAUUUUAUUGAGUGAGUUUGAUAUUAUGUAAGUGAUACAAAAAGCCAUUAAAAGACAAGCUUUGGUUGAUUACCUCACAGAAAACCCAGUGGAUCAAGAUUAUAAUCCACUCAAUACCUAUUUUCUUGGUGAAGAGAUGUUGUUUGCAAGAGAAACGAUCUCAGAGUAUAUGAUGGAUGGAGAAUGUUCUUUGAUAGAGCAUCAAACUUCAAAGGAGUCGGAAUUAAAAUAGAUUUGGUUUCAUAAAUAGGUCAACAUUAUCUGAUCUCGGUGAAGAUUAGGUUUUCUUACAUGAAUAAGAUGGAAAAAUAUGAGGCUUGCAUUCUCGAACUUAUAAUGGACGCAGACAUGAACAUCAAAGAGCUCUUGGUAAUAGGAGAUUAAGAUUUGUCAAUCCAUCAGGUACAGGGAGAAUGGGCCACCAAGAAUGUCAAAAUCCUUACUUAUGUGCAAUAUAUUAAGGAACUAAGUAAAAGAUUCAUGAAGAUUGAGUGCAAACAUAUCCUUCGAAUUCAAAAUGAGUAUGUCGAUGCCCUGGAAAUACUAUAUUCAAUGAUUCAACAUCCAGAUAGGAAUUACAUUAAUCCUGCCAAGGUGGAGAUAAGCAAAUAACAUGCAUACUAUUUCUAUGUAGAUGAAGAACCAAAUGGAAAGUCGUGGUUCUACAAUAUCAAAAGGUUACUCAAAGUAUGGGAAUAUCCAGAAAAUGUUACUAGAAAGCAGAAGAGGGCUUUAAAAAAGAUGGCCAAUCAUUUCUUUCUCAAAAAGGAAGUCAUGUAUAGGAGGACUCUGGAGUUGGGAUUAUUAUGAAGUGCCGAUGCCACAGAAGCAACAAGAUUGUUGGAGGAAAUACACGCAUGAACUUGUGGACCUCACAUAAAUGGUUUCAUGAUUCCAAGAAAGGUUUUGAGAGCUAGAUACUUUAGGAUGCCCAUAGAAAGGGAUAUCAUUCGGUACAUGCAGAAAUAUCACCAAUAUCAAGUCCAUGGAGAUUUUAGACGGGUUCCGCAAAACAAGGGUUACCCUUGGCAGUUUACUACUUAGGGCAUGGAAGUUAUUGGGACCAUAGAGCCCCUUUCACCCAAUGGACACCAUUUCAUCUUGGUUGCUAUUGACUAUUUCACAAAAUGAGUUGAAGUUUAAACACACAAGGCAGUAACCAAGAAGGUGCUAGCAGAUUUUAUUUGCAAUAACUUAGUCUAUCAGCUUAGAAUUCCAAAGUCAAUCAUAAUAGAUAACGGGACCAAUCUUAAUAGCAACCUCAUGAGAGAGAUUUAUGAAAAAUUUAAGAUUUGUCAUCAAAAUUCUAUAGCAUAUCGACCACAAAUGAAUAGAGUAGUUGAGGCUGCAAACAAGAACAUCAAGAAAAUCUUGAGGAAAAUAGUGGACAGUAAUAAGGAAUGGCAUUAGAAGCUACCAUAUGCUUUCCUCGACUAUCACACCAUGAUCAGAACAUCUACUAGGGCAAUUAUAUACAUGUUGGUUUAUGGUUUACAAGCAGUGAUACCUGCAGAAGUGGAGAUACCUAUAUUAAGAAUCAUUCAGGAGGUUGGUCUAGACAGUGCUGAAUGGAUUCAUAGAAGAAUCGAACAAUUGAUGCUCAUUAAUGAGAAGAGAUUGGAUGCAGUCUGUCAUAGUCAACUCUAUCAAAUAGAAUAAUCAAGGCGUUCAACAAGAUAGUUAAGCCUCGAUGAUUUACACCAGAAUAGUUACUGAAGAAGAAGAUAUUCUUUCACCAAGAUAAUGCUAAAGGGAAACGUGCACCAAAUUGGCAAAGUCCCUACAUUGUUCACCGAGUACUCUCGAGAGGAGCAGUAAUCCUUGCAGAGAUAGAUGGCACAGUAAGCACGAAGAUGAUUAAUUGAGAUGCCAUUAAGAAGUAAUAUAUUUGAAGACAUUAGGACUAGUUUUUGUUUCUAUGUACUUUCACAUUUUUCUCUAAUGUAACAAAACUACGUAUUAGCUUGACUUCCCACAGCGGGAUACAUAGGCAGCCCAUAAAAGGUCCAGUUUCCCUUAGAAAAAACCCAAAACAUCAUCCUUUCCUGUAUUCAUACUACACUCGACCUGACUUUCCUCAGUGGCAUACGUAGGAAAUCCUCAUCAAAUUUGGUCCCUUCAUAUUUUAAUCUUUUAUUGCAUUGAACUACGGCCUGACUGAUUCCACUUGGAUAUGUAGGCAGCCUAAGUCAGGACUGGUCAUUGAAUUAUUUUACUUUAUGACCUGAUUCCUCUCGAUUACAUAGGCAGCCUUAGACGGACUCAACCAUUACAUUUCAUAUUUUCAUCUCUCCUCUUGUAUUUAAACUAUGUCAUGACCUGAUUCUAUUUGGAUAUGUAGGCAUUCUGAGUCAGACUAGGUUGGUACAAUUGAUAUUUCUUCCUCAACCCUCGAACUAUGUACGAACUAGAUUCCCAUGUUGAGGAUACGUAAGCAACCUAAAAGGUUUGGUCUUACUUUAAAAAAAAUCCCAUUUUGCUCAUAGUAUGGCCCCUGAAUAUAAGUGAUCUCGCUACUAGAAUCGUCAUAGCAUCGAUAAAAGUCAGAGGUAUUCCACCUAAGGGAUAAAGCUACGUGGGUUACAAUCGACAAAUAGAGGUUCAACUAAUUUCAGAACAUGUCAUAAUCUAAUAAUGACAGAGGAUUAAAAUAUAUACUUAAUAAAUAUAUGUAAUAUAUUUGUGAAAAUAUGUAUACGUAUAUAUAUAUAUAUAUUUCACAAUACUUUCCUACAUCUCCACCUUCCAGGCCUUCAGAUUUAGGAGUGAUCGAGCAGCCGAGGACGUGUUGGAGGGUUUCAUAGACAAAGCCAGUAUCCACAACUCGGCACAAGUCAACACUCCCUCCCAUUUAAGAAAUUUUCUUUGAGUACAGGGAAAUAGGAAUUGAAAAGGACGAUAUCGAGUGGAGCUUUAGAAAAGAGCCAAGACAUCAUGCAACUUAUCACUACAACAUGAGCCAAAAUAUUCUUUUCCUACUUUAUUUUUUACAUAUAUUUAUACUAAUCCCAUCCAACUCUAUGAAUUUCAUUAGAAUUCUUUUGCAGAUACAUCCAAGAUCUAGAUAAAAGAUUGAAGACAGAGGAUCCUCAUAGGAUAAUUAGUCCAUUUUAUUUCUUCCAAUAAACUCCGCCGUCCUUACUAGCCAAUAACCUGACUACGUUAAAUAACUUCGCCAAUUGAAGAAUCACCAACUAAUUGUGUCGAACAACUCCAUCAUCGGAGAGUGUCAGGUAACUUCAGCAAAGUCAAGCUUCCGCAUUUCGAUGACUAUACAUAAGCAAACAAAGUCAAGCUCCCGCAUUUCAAGGACUGUACAUAAGCAAACUCAGUUGAAUUCUACAUUUUAAAAAAUAUUCAUAUGCAAGCAAAGCAACCCUAUGUCAUAUCAGAGAAUGUCAAUAAGCAAUACGAUUCUUCGUCAUAUUAGGAGUUGCACCAGUAAAGGGGAUGCCCUGCCAUAUCGAAGAAUAUACAUAAGCAACGCACUGCUCUGUCACAUCGAAGAAUGUACAUAAGAAAUGCAAAAAUCUUCCAUAUCAAAGAAUCACAUUUAAGCAAACAAAGCAUAUCUACUAAUCAAAAAUUUGCACCACAACAAAUGAAUCCAAAUCCACCAUCGUAGCAGCAAGAAAGCCACUAUAACAGCAGUAUCGGAUCCUAUAGCAACAUCAUGAUCAUGAAGUCUGGGUCGAAGAUCAUCUCGCCAGAAUGACUCUUUUACUUAUAAGCAACUACCCUACUAGUCAAAGCCUUUUAUUCUUUAAUAAUUGUUCACCAGUCGGAUGUCUUUUAUCCUUCAAUAAUUGCCUACCAGUCGGAUGACUUUUACUCUUCAACAACUACCCGUCUGUCGGAUGGCUUUUAUUUUUCAACAACUACCCACCUGUCAGAUGGCUUUUAUUUUUUUCAACAAGCACUCUGUCGAUGGAAGCUCUUUAUAUUUCAGCUAUUGCCCCGCCAGUCAGAGACCUCCAUAAACAAAAAUUACAACACUAGUUUGAAUAUCUACAUCCUAGUUCUUACCUUACAAUUUCAAUUUAAAAUUUUGAAUAAGUUUUUUCACCCUUUUACCUAUUUUGCAUAACAAUGUACUAUAGCAUGAAACUACCCUCUUAGAAAUAAACUGGAAUAUGUUAGCGAAAUAUCAAGCAUCCUUAGCUACGUUAUGGAUUUCGGUGAAGAAAUCAACUCAACUCAACUCAGUUUUUCCAUUUUCAUAACUUUUAGUGUCAUUGCCCAAUGACGUCUCAAUCCGAACUGAAAUAGUUUUGGAAGUCCGUAAUUUGUUUCCUCACAAAAUCCUCAGUAGAUAUUGCUAUCAAGUAUCUUUUCAUAAACAGCUACCCCAACGAACCAAUUCAGGGAUAUAAGCGCAGCCAUGAUCCAUUCAAGCUAAAAUCUUUGCAAUCACCUUCGAAAGAACUCAGUUUCACCAUAAUUCUACACUACGAAAAUUUUGAGAUUGAUUAAAAUUUGCUAUGAUCUAAACUACAAAUGGCCUGAUUUCCCAUGAAACCCGAGAUGUGUAGGCAGCUCGAAACCAAAGUCCAGCCAUAAUUUUUUAAAUUUUAUUUUGUUCGAGACAAAAUUGGCUACAUCGACUUGAUUUCCCAAGAAUGUUUACACUAAUCUUCGGUCAAUCAGGGGCAGUUAUUGACACCCAAUUUUGGCUCGCUCUUUUUUUAAAAAAUUAUUUUUCUAUGUUUAUUAGUCCUAAGUAAUUUUUUCAAAAUAAAUUCAUACAUUUAUGAAUUUUGAUAAGAAUGAAACAGAGGAUUUAUUUUUCCUAUAAUAUCAUAAAAUAUUUUAAUUAAAUAUAAUUAAUUAUUUAUAUCUAAAAUCAAACAAAAAAUAUUUUUUGAUAAUCGCAUUCGAUUCUCUAAUUUUAUUUUUCAUAUGAUAUAUCAUAACUAUCUAUAUAUAUACAUAUUCUUAUAAUAUAUAUAUAUAUACAUACAUAUAUAUAUAUAUAUAUUAUCAUGACCCGAGGCUACCCCCUAGUCACGACAAUGGUGUUUACGAUCAAAAGUGACCACAAACUUACCUAUGAGUUGGUACCUGCUGUGAGCACUGGAUACAAUGUUGAUAAUAGAAAUGUGCGGAAAUAACUGAUAAACCCAUAAGGUCUGAAUACUAAAAAUGUGAUUCAAUGAUAAGUAUGAGACAUCUAGUAAGACUGAUAAACUGACUAUUAUUUAACUAAAUGUCUGCAUGUCUGAAAAUCCUCUAACUAACUGAAGGGUUGAUGGGACAAGCCCCCAACUAACUUCGACUGAUUGAAAUUCAGGAACAAAAUAGAUAAACUAAAAUAACACAAUUAUGUCCUCGAUAGAUGAGGACUCACCACAACUGUUGUUGCUGCUGAUAAGAUGAACUGUCUAAGCACAUUCAGGAAACUAAGCGUCCAAACCUAUGAUAUUAAAUAUCAUAGCGCAAAGAAGAGUAUGUGAUCAGUACUUUGAAUGUACUGGUAUAUGAGAUGAGGUUAGUGUAAAAUGCAUGGGUUAACUGUGCAUGAAGUAAUGGCUGACUAAAUAACAUAUGAUAACUGAAUAUGAAUGCACAAAAUUGUAAUAUAUGAGAAUUCAAGAUCAAGCAUAUAAGAUUCUGAAAUAAUCUAUGAACUGAAUUACUGAAAUAUGGUAACUGAGUAACUGGUAAUCUGUAUGCUAUGUUCAAGAAAACCUAAACUGAAUUCUGUAUGAAUACUGAACUGAUACUAUGGGAGGUAUCAUCAAACCGACAUACCUCAAUCUAAGCUAAUUGGGGUCCAACCUGUAACCCCAAUUGGAAGGGUGUUAGAACCAUGCCACGAGUACUAACACUGGCUGUGUGGAUCUACUAAUCAGAUAUCCUAAAGGACUAGGAAGUCAGUCCGAAACUGGCAUGUGACCCCUAAGAAAGUAUCAGUCCUACACUGGCGAGUGACAUCUCAUAAUCCUAUGCAGGCUAUGUAGUUUUAGAACUUAGGGACUGCUACUAAGGACCCAGUCCUAACUGACCGGUGAGUCCACAUCCCUAGGUUUGCUCGGUGCUAAAUCCUACUCCCAACUAAACUGACGUUAAUUGCUGGACUGAACUAAGUUUAACUAAACAAACAACUAAUCAUAAUAACUUAUUGAAUGACAAUGCUCAUGGUUUAUCUGAAGUCAUUCUGAAAAUACUAAAAUUAUGUAAAAAACUAGGUAUUGGGUGUUCAUAACCCACCAGCAUUGGAUGGAAAUAACAAUAAGGACAUAUAAAAUCUUUGAAAACCAUAGUAGGGAAUCACUAUUCAAAACCCAUCACUUUGGCAUUUCAUCAAACACAUGGAGAGCAAGAAUUUAAAAUGGGGAUGCUUUUAAACAUGAGGAGAUAACAUGAGUAUAUGAAAAAAAUCAUAACUAAAGGAUUUAUUCUGACUCGCAUAAUCGUGACACGGUAACUACAAUAUUCAUAACACACUAUAAUCCAUUCAACUUGAAAACAUUUAUAAUCAUAACUUGAAGUUGAAAUAAAAAAAGAUUCAUGAAGAUAGUUCAACAUAAUCAUGUAAAACUCAUAGUUUAAAAUCAAAAAUGGGUUCAUGACUCCAUGAUAAAAAGGGCCCAUGGAUGAACAUCACACAUACCUUAAACCCUUAGUAUGGAUAGGGAAACACCAAUAUUGAUACUUUCUUGAAUGUUCUUAGAUUGGAAAACUUGAAUUCUUGGUUUCCUUGGAGAGAAAGUAAUGGAAUUUGAUGAUCUUGGGGAAGGAGAAGGUUUGUUUUUCAGAGGAAAUUAGAGAAAGUGGGCAAAUAAUGCCCUAAAUGGUGUUAUAAUUCGUGAAUUGAUGAAUUGGAUUGAUGGAAAAAAUACAAUUUCCCCUUAGACAUUUAAAUUCGUAACUAGAAUGCAUUUUAUAGGGUCACCGCAACACGAUGAGGGUCCCAUCGCUAUUACCACUGCGACAUGGCACUAUCGUGGUGAGAUGCUGGAAUCGUGAUCCAAACAUGACCCAAUCUUUGUUCAAAAAAUCCAAAACUUCCCUGAGACAUGCUCCUUACACCCCUGAACAUGAAUUAACUCAAAAAACAAUAUCUCAGAGUUGGGAAAACCAAUUUAAAAAUCCUCAAAGUUAAGAGGCCUUAGAAAUGACUAAGUCCACAACACUUAGUAAAAUUUUUAGGCUUUAAGCCUCUUAUGCAUGCAACUAAUAGUUGACUGAUCUAAGAAGAGUACGGGGUAUUACAAUAUCUUCCCCUUGGAAAUAUUUGUCCUUGAAUAAGACUGAUUAAGAUAAGAAUACUGAUGAAACUGAAAAUGUAUGCUGAACAUGCAUAACUAGAAGCAUGACUACAUGACUAAGUCUGAAGCAUGGUACAUGAACUGGACUAAUUUCAUAAAUGCAUGCAAUGACAUGAGAACGAUCAUAUAGCUAAAACUGAGAAUGGAAUAGAGACAAUCUAAGGAAAACUGUUACCUUAAGCUGAGUCUAAGUUUGCGGAGAAAAGAUGAGGGUACUUGGUACAUAUAUCUUCCUCUGCUUCCCAAGCGGAUCCCUCAAAGGACUGAUUCUGCCAAAAAAAUUUAACAAGGGAACUUCUUUGUUCCUCAGUGAUACAAGAAUGACAAGGAAGGGCACAAAGAAUACACCAAAAUAGUCCACAUUUGAAGAAUCAAGGACCUCUUUUGGUGACCACUCGCGGAUUCACUACACAACAGCAAUAAUGAAGAAAUUACAAGGUGUUUAUCACACCAACAGCCAACCCAAACUAAUAUUAUCAACACAAGAUGAUGAAAUAAGAUAAACAAAAAUAAUAUUAAAACAACAACAACGCAUGGCUUGGAAUAACAAGAACGCUAACAACGGUUACAACAAGAUACAGAUAAGAAGAUAGACAAAUGGAGGUAUAAUCUUAAGAACCUAAGAGAUUAUUCCACUCUUGGACCCUUAACACUACACACUACAAUCAUCUAUCUCUUACAAUUGGCACAAGAUAGGCGUCCAUCACCCAAGCACCAACGUACCAAGCUAAAUGCAACGUACAAAUGAUUCCAUACUUGUGCAAUGCCCUGGUUUUGGUUUUGGACUCUCUCGCUAAGAGAAGUGUUAUCUCAAUAUCAUUAAGAAACUAAAGAAAUAAACUCUACAAUGUUCUAUUUAUACUACAUUACAAUAAUAUACAAAAUGAAAAAAAGGCCCUUUAGUGACUAGUCUUCAAAAAUACUCAAAAAGUGUCAUGGCCAUGAUCAUACUUGUAGCAUCCUCUCCAUCUUGAGAGGAAUUUGACCAAAAAUGCAUGGCCUUAACUCUUUUACAAAGGCACGUCACAAUCUCCUUCAUGCGUCUAUACAUCUUCUCCAUCUCCCUCACUUUGUAUUUCAACCUCCUCUUGUUCUCCAUCUUGAGGCUUGCCAUCAACCUUAGUCAAUUUAAUUAGUACUUCUUCCCCAAUAUAGUACAAUUUUCCUUUCCUUAGGAUUACGUUCCUCCGGUUUAGACACUCACUAGACUUGUGCCCCCACUCUUGACAUUUGAAGCAUUGAAAACCCUUGGAAUUGGAAGUGGAAAUUGGUUUACUUUCAUACUUUGGGGGCUAUUUUGGGGAAGCCUUGGUGAUCUCGGGUUGGACAGCCAUGGAUGAUCUCUCUUUGAGCUCCCUUAUAAACUCCAAUGUAGCUUGGAAGAUGCCAUCAAUAGUGUUGAACUUAUGAAGUGUCAAACGUGAGGCAAUAUCUAUAUUCAACCCCACCUUGAAUCAAAUGAUGUCGUGACUCACUUGUUCCCCUCUAUGAUCAAGUUUCAAGAUGAGUUGUUGGAACUCAUCGUUGUAAUCCAUGAUGCUCUUGUUUCCUUACCUUGAGUUAUAUAACUUGGCAAGGAGCUCGUUUCGAUAUCUUUCGGGUAAGUACCUUUAUCUUAUUAGGUACCUUAAUCGAAACCAAGGAGGGGGCUGCCCCUCAAUUAAAAUGUUGCCAAAACGCUUAACAUAUUCCCACUAUGUAGUAGCAUAACCCUCAAAGUGAUCUAUCACAUAGAAACUCUUUUUCUCCUCGGUAAGAUCGUUGACUUGGAAGACCCUCUCACAUGCAGAUUCCUAUGCAAGAAACUCUUCGGGAUCACUCUCACCCUUGAAGAUUGGAAGCCCUAUCUUGAUGGUAUUUAGUCCUACAUCACGGUUUUGGUUCCCUUAUGGGUUCAAUGACCAACUCUACCUUCUCGGCCAUGAACUUCCCUCUGAUCACCAUGCCUUUCCCUUAUUUCUCCCUCUCUCAUGUAAAAAUCAUCAUACGGCCCAUAACCACCAUGUUGUCCUCCCCUACCACAUCCCUCAACAUGGAUGGGUUUAUUUGGUUUAAGUGGAGCUUGUAGUGGUGGGAUUGGAUUUGGAUAGUGAGGUCUUUGGUCAAGUGGAAUUUAGAUGAGAGGAUUCGGGUUUGGUGGUGGUAUUUAGGUUAAAAGCCCUUCUUGUUGGACUUGGUGGAGUGGAGAAUAGCUUAGUCUAUCUUGUUCUCAGCUUUGGGAGUAAAAAUUGGUUGGAUUUGUGGCAAUUGGUAGAUAUAAUAUUUGGUGCAAGGUCUCGGGAGUAUUAGUCGGGGAAUUGUUUUGAGGGGUGGAACGUUGACUCCUUUGGCUUUCCACACACUAUAAUCUUUCACUCAUUGAUGCCACAUCCGUAUCUAAUAUCUCAAGACCCACAUUCAACCUAACCACAUCUCAGGACAUAGUUUCAAGGUGAGCCAAAAUGAGAUUGGUGGCAUUAUUAUCUAUUGUUUGAGCAUUUGAAGCCUCGGGUUCCAUUGAACUUAGGAAGUUACCUACAAAACAAUAAACGAGUUAGUUGUAAAAGAAAAGGUCCUCAUACUCUCUCUUUAGUUCUUUGCCUAUCGGGUUUCUUCACUCAAUCACAAAAGUGUGGAAAGCUUGAUUGUAUUCCGUAUUUGAGAGGUGAACCAAGAAUUUACAAUGACUUAAAAGAAUAAAGCACACAAAGGAACGUUAAGACAAAAAAGGGUUUCAAAACUAACUUACAAUCUAAUAUUAGCCAGUAAGUUAGUAAUGGAUUCAACAAACUAGACUAAAGAAACAACAAACUAGAAACUAGUAAUCCAAGUUUGAGCUCAAAUUAACAUGUGAACAGCAAACUUGAUGACGUGUCACCCUUCAAUUGGUCGACAUUUCAACAAAUUUAAAUUAUCAAUUUUGAUAUUUUGGGUCCUUCACAAUUUGGAAUGGAUGAAAUUAAAAUUGGAGGGGAAUUUCAAGUCUUGGAAUCCUUUUCAAAUUCAAUCUUCAAAAGGUGUGACCUGAAUUGUACUAUUCCCACAAAACAAGGUCCUUGAAAUAGGAAAAGUGGUUGAAAAAAUUGUUGUCAAGUCAAAGAACGAUGUGAUCAAGUCAUUUCACUAACAAGUCUUACAACUUUGUCUUUACCUUUUCUAGAACUAUUAGCUACUUUAAGUUGGUCAAGAUAAGAGAAAUGGUGAAGAACAACAAGAACACAACAAUAACCUUCAAGAACUAUAACAACAUCACCAUAUGUCCAAGAACAGCAACUUCAGGCCAACUUCAAGUUCACAUCAACAAUGUCAUCAUUUUAAGCUGAACCUUUAGAUCUAGACACUUGUAGUGUUGGUGAGAAAGAAACCAACACUUGAAACCCUAAAAAAACAAAAUGACUACCAAAUCUAGACACAUAAACAAGUUUUCAGCCAAGACAACAAAAGAUUCAACUUUCGGCCAUAAACAACUUCUUCACCUUUUUUUUUCAACUAUCAAGCCCAAGAUUGAUCUUGUUACAUCAAGAUCAAGCCACGCUUUGAUACCAAAUGAUAAAAUAAUGACAAGGAAAAGCACAAAACAUACACCAAAAUAGUCCACAAUUUGAAGAAUUAAGGACCUCUUUCGGUGACCACUCACGGAUUCACUACACAACAACAAUAAUGAAGAAAUUACAAGGUGUUUUAUCGUACUAACAGGCAACACAAACUAAUAUUAUCAACACAAGAGGAUGAAACAAGAUGAACAAUAAUAAUAUUAAAAUAACAACAACACACGGCUUGGAAUAACAAGAAUGCUACCAACGGUUACAACAAGAUAAAGAUAGGAAGAUAGACAAAUAAAGGUAUAAUCUUAAGAACCCAAGAGCUUAUUCCACUCUUGGACCCUUAACACUGCAUACUACAAUCACCUAUCUCUUAUAAUUGAUACAAGAGAAGCGUCCACCACCCAAGCACCAACGUAUCAAGCUAAAUGCAACACACAAAUGAUUCCACACUUGUACAAUGCGCUAGUUUCAGUUUUGGACUCUCUCUCACUAAGAGAAGUGUUCUCUCAAUAUCAUUAAGUACCUAAAGAAAUAAACCCUACAAUGUUCUAUUUAUACUACAUUACAAUAAUAGAAAAAAUGACAAAAGGGCCCUUUAGUGAUAGUCUUCAAAAAUACACAAAAAGUGUUAUUAUCAUGAUCAUACUUGUAUCUCUCAAUCUAUGAAUCUGACAAUCAAGGAUCUCGACUAGGAUUUCUUCAUAAGAAAGGUUAUUCUGAACAUUUGUGCUUUCUAAAGGAACCACAAUAGUUGGAUCACCAAUACACUUCUUUAAUAAAGAAACAUGAAACACUGGAUGCAAUGACACCAAAUCUACAGGAACCUCAAUCUCAUAAGCUACCUUUCCAAAAUGACUCAAAAUCCUAUAAGGGAUAAUAUAUCGGGGACUAAGAUUCCCUUUUUUGUCAAAUCUUUUCACCCCUUAAUAGGCAAAAUUUUCAGAUAGACUAAGUCACCAACAUCAAACUCAAGGUCUCUUCUCCUCACAUCUGCAUAAGAUUUUUGAUGGCUUUAGGCUGUCUUAAGCCUCUCCCUGAUUAACUGAACUUUCUCUAUUACAUCAAACACUAAAUAUGGUCCUAUCAAAAAAUCCUCACCUACCUCAAACCAACCAAUAAGAGAUCUAUCUCUCCUCCUAUAGAGAGCCUCAAAUGCAGCCAUCUGAAUAUUGGAGUGGUAACUGUUAUUGUAGACAAACUCGAUCAAAGGUAAGUGAUCAUCCCAACUACCUUUAAAGUCGAUAACACUUGCUUUCAACAUGUCCUCUAGGGUCUGAAUGGUCCUCUCUUCCUGACCAUCGAUCUGAGGAUAAAAAGUCAUACUAAGAUGAACUUGGGUACCAAGACCUUUCUGAAGAGCUCUCCAAAAGUGAGAGGUAAACUGAGUACCUCUAUCUGAAAUGAUAGACAAAGGGACUUCAUGCAACCUAACCAACUAUCUAAUAUAGAUCUUGGUGUAAUCCUAACUGAAUAUGAAGUAUGAACUAGCAAGAAAUGAGUUGACUUCGUCAUUCUUUCUAUAAUAACCCAUAUUAAACCAAGUUGACGACGCGAACGGGGCAACCCUAUCACAAAAUUCAUGUUCACCUCUUCCCACUUCCAUAUGGGAAUGAUGAACGAAUGAUGAAAUCCUAUAAAGUGACACUAGGCCUCUGGUGCUCAACUUUAACCUAUUGACAAUUGUCACACUUAGCUACAAACUCUGCAAUAUCCCUCUUCAUACCACUCCAUCGAUAGAUUUCUCAUAAAUCACGAUACAUCUUAGUGGAUCUUAGGUGUAAAGAGUAACAUACACUAUGCGCCUUUACUAAAAUCCGUUGUCCCAAACCACCAACACACGACACACACAGCCUACCCGAACAUCGCAACACACCAUCUUUCCCUUAGGAGAAAACCUCUAUCUUCUGAUCUUUAACUGAUUCCUUCAACUUAACCAAACUGGAAUCUUUGUCUUGCUUCUCUUUCACUUCGACAACCAAAGAAGAUUCUGAACCAUUCUGAACCCAUAUACUACCAUUAGCUGAAUCAACCAACCGAAUACCUAAUCUAGCAAAUUGAUGUACCUCCUGGAAAACUUUUUCUUAUUAUUCUCAACUUGAGCAACACUACCCAGAGAUAAUUUACUAAGGGUGUCUGCCACUACAUUAGCCUUUCUUGGAUAAUAAACACACUCGUAUCAUAAUCUUUCAACAACUCAAGCCACCUUUUCUGACGAAAAUUUAAAUUUUUCUGCGAAAACACAUAUUGCAAACUUUUGUGAUUCGUGAACACAUCAACAUGAACCCCAUAAAGAUAAUGCUUCCAAAUAUUUAAGGCAAAAACAAUAGUUGCCAACUCAAGAUCAUGGGUAGGGUAAUUCUUUUCAUAGGGCUUAAGCUACCUAGAGACAUAGGCUAUGACCUUACCUCUUUGUAUCAAAACAUAACUAAGACCAACUCUGGAAGCAUUAUAGUAAACAAAAAACCUAUCUAAACUAUUUGGCAAAGUCAAGACUGAGGUUAAGGUGAGUCGAGUCUUCAACUCCUGAAAACUCUUCUUGCAAGAAUCUAACCACUGAAAUUUGACCUUCUUCUGAGUCAAUCGAUACAUGGGGGAUGCAAUAGACAAGAACCUUUCAACAAACUAUCUGUAAUAGCCAGCCAAUCCUAAGAAACUCCUGAUAUUUAAUGGAGAGAUAGAUUUAGGCCAGUUUCUUGCUACUUUGGUCUUUUGAGGGUCUACUCUAAUGCCAUCACCAAAAAUGAUAUGGCCAAGAAAAGCUACUGAUCUUAGUCAAAAUUUGCACUUACUGAAUUUGGUGAACAACUAAUGGGCUCUAAGAGACUGCAAUAUAAUUCUGAGAUGGUCUGCAUAACCACUCUCACUAUGGGAAUAGACAAGAAUAUCAUCAAUGAACACUAUGAUGAACAUGUCCAAGUACUUCUUGAACACUCAGUUUAUCAAGACUAUGAAAGCUGUUGGGGCAUUCAUUAGUCCAAAAUACAUACCUAGAAAUUCAAAGUGACCAUACCAAGUUCUGAAAGCUACCUUUGAAAUGUCACAUUCUUUGACUUUGAGCUAACGAUAGCUGGAUCUGAGGUCUAUCUUAGAAAAAUAACUGGCACCUUGAAGUUGGUCGAACAAGUCAUCAAUCCUGGGGAGUAGAUAUUUAUUCUUGAUGGUGGCUUUGUUCAAUUGACGAUAAUCGAUGCACAUUCUGAGAGAACAUUUUUCUUACGCAUAAAAGGGACUGAAGCGCCCCAUGGAGAAUUACUAAGCCUGAUGAAUCCCUUAUAUAAGAGAUUUUUUAACUGUUCUUUCAACUCUCUAAGCUCAGUUGGAGCUAUUCUGUAGGGAAGAAUAGAGCUAGGCUGGGUAUCUAGAAGAAGAUCUAUUCCGAAGUCAAUUUUUCUUUCAGGAGGAACUCUAGGAAGAUCUUUAGGGAACACAUUUGGAAAUUAUCUCAUUACUGAAACUGACUCAAGACUUGGAGUCUCAGAACUAUGGUCUUUGACUCGAACAAGAUGGUAUAUACAACCCUUAGAAAUCAUCUUUCUUGCUCUAAGAUAUGACACAAUUUUACCCCUAAGCGUUGAAGUACUACCCCUCCAUUCAAUAAUUGAAACAUUAGGAAACUAAAACUAAAAGACUCUAUUUCUACAGUCAAUCGAAGCAUAGCAUGAGUAGAGACAAUCCAUGUCAAGAAUGAGAUCAAAAUCAUUCAUCUUUAACUCUAUAAUGUCUACUGAAAUAAUUUUCUGGGAUACUAUAACCGGGCAGUUUUUGUAGACUCAUCUGUCUAUGAUAGACUUCCUCACUAGGGUAGAUUCUGAGAAAGGAUCUACUAAUAUUUUGGGACUGACACCAAAAUUGACAUUUAUAUAAGGGGUUACAAAAAAAGUGAAGCUUCGGGAUCUACUAAAGCAUAAACAUGAAGAUGAAAGACCUGUAACGUACCCGUAACCACUUAAAGAGAGCUUUACUGAUCAUGACGGGACUGAAGUACAUACAAUCUGUUCUAGAGCGGACCACUGGUGGCACUAAAAGUGGCGCCUUGCUGAAUCGGGCGACCUGCUGGAGCUGAUGACAGAUUGAACUAGCCCUGUUGGCGCAAAACCUUUCCCCUAUGAGCAACUUCUGGACACUCUCUAACCCUGUGGCCUAGCUUGCCACACCCAAAACAUACAUCACUACCAGCCUUGCACACACCUUGAUGAUUCCUGCUAAAUUUUUGGCAAAGUGGAUUAGUACGACCAUUGUUCAUACUACCCUGGGACUUGGAGCCUGGUGCCCUAUCCCGACUAUCAUUCCAGAACUUUGGAACUGGUAAACUAGCUGAAAAUGGCACUGGAGCUGAAAAUUUCUAACAAAACUGAGAAUGGUUACCACUCUCUGACCUCGGCUGAGAGAAAUUAAAACUACUUGUUCUGGCCCUCUUAUUCUCUCUUUCUUUCGUCUUAAUCUUCUCCUCAAUUUUCUGAGCAUGCACCAUAAGCCUAGACAAGUCUAUCUCCUUAAUCAACAUUGCGGUCCUACACUCCUUGACCACGCUAUUGAAACACCAGAAACAAACUUACUCAUUCUAGACCUAUUGUCUACAACCACAUUAGGAGCAUACCUCGCCAACUGAGUGAACUUAAAUGAAUACUCCUUCACACUUAUAUUACCCUGCUUCAGGUUUAUAAACUCCUACACCAUAGCUUCUCGCAACUCUAAAACGUCUUGUAGUCUCUUGUCCAUAAGUAUGGCGCGCUUCACACCCAUGCACAAGACUCUACUUAAUGCGGCUUUCAGACUCCCUAGGAAACUGUAAAACCUUUGGCUUUGAUAUCUAGUUUUGUCAGGACUGAGGCUACCCCCUAGUCGUGACAACGGUGCUUACAGUCACAAGUGACCACAAGCAAACCCAUGAGCUAGUACCUGCUGUGAGCACUGGAUACAAUGAUGCUAAUAAACAUGUGCGAAAAUAACUGAUAAAGCCGUAAGGUCUGAAUAUUGAAAAUACAAUUCAAUCAAAGGUAGAUAUGAAGAGCAUCUUGGAGCCCAAAAGUGGUUGUGAGGGGUAUUAUAGAGCCAAAAGGUGUAUGGAGGACAUUUUUGCACCAUUUCCAAUAGGUGAAGGAUAUUUUAGGCCCUUUUCCCGUAUAUUCAAUAGUUCCAACUUCUUUCUCUAUCUUCUUUAUGUCUAAUAUCUAUCUUCUACAUCUAUCGAUUGUUUCUUCGUUUUCAUAGUUAAAUUUUCAUUUUUCAUAUUUUGGAUCGUAUCAUUAAGAAACAAUAAAUAAUAUGGAUUAUUUUAUUAUAUCACCUUUGAAUAUAAUAAAUUUAAUACUUUAUGAAAUACAUUAGGUAAUGAAUAUUAUUUAAUAUUUUGGGUAAAUUGAAUAUAAAUAAGUAAAUUGUCUAUAGACAACUGUCGUUAGACGUCUAUUUUUGUAAUAUAAACACUAAAAAUGAAGGGGGUGGAGGUGAUAUUUUUAUUUUUUUGCCCUAUAUUUUUUCUUUUGGUUUUGCAGUCCGUGAGUAUUUGACUGUGGAUUCAAAUUUUCAUAAAUUGGGCAACUGUCGCAGCAUUUAUUUAUGUCACUUUGUAAGGGGAAGGAUUAAAUGUUAGCAAAAAUAGGAAAGGCAAGUAAAGGCAAAUUAAAAGAUGGUUGAAAAUUUGAUCUUUAUUGAUUACGUUUGUGUAAAUGGAAAUUAAUUUUGACCUUUAAUUUACAAUAUACUUUAUUUUCUUUAGUAAUUUAAUUCUUACCUCAUUCGUUCAUCUUUACUUGUCCGCCAUAUUAAAAUAGUUAUCCAACAAUACUUGUUCAAUUUAAAAAAUCAAUGGAUAAUAUAUCCAUUUGAGCUCAUUUUACCCUUGAAAUUAAAUACUACUCAUUAUCUAAUAUAUUUUUUAAAUCAUUACAUUUAAUAUAUUCGAACGGUAAUAUAGUAAAACUACCCCGAUUAUUUAUUAAUUUUAAUGUAGUGUGUCAAGUUAAUAGUGAUCAAGUAUUGGAAGAAGAGAUUAUACCUUUUUUUUUUUUUAGUAAAAAAGGUUAAUAGAUAAUCGAGUAUAACAGCAUUUUUAUGGGAGAAACAUGGGCUAGUCUCCUCUUUUCCUUUCUCCUUAUUAUUAGUAUUAUUAUUGUCUAGUACUUGCAUAGUAUAUUUUACUUUGUUUUUCUUAUUUGUUAUAUGUUGCUCCAUUGGUUGUAUUUAUCUUCCCAUUUUGUUGCCGUUAUUUUUUUUCCUUUCUAGCCUGUUUUGGUUAUGUAUUGUUGUGCCAAGGGUCUAUCUAAUAGUAUGUCCAUCUCCCAAAUGUAGGAAUAAGUCUGUGUAUAUCUUGCUCUCCCCAAGUGAGAUUUGAUUGGAAAAUUUUUGAGUACGCUUACCUAACAUGAAACUAGAUUAAUCAAGUCUAUGCAUUAUUGAAUCAUUCGUUCCAUGGAUUUCAGAUCAAUAAAGAUUUUUUUUGUGGAGAUAGUCACAUCAUUAUUAAUUAAUUGUGUGACAUUUACUUGUGUUAUGUUCCAUGAAGCAGGUAAUCGGGGAUUCGACAUUUCAAUGACACAGACAAAAUGGGCUUUUAUUUCUUGGGACAAACCUGCUUGGCUUUGAGCCAUGUAGUAGUAACUGAUUUUUGAGAUUCAAGAUUUCCAGUUAGAUGAAAUUGAUGAAUAUUAUAUCCUAAAAAACCUAUAAGCGCAAGCUAAAUUUCUUGUGCCAAGCCUUUUAUGGGGAAAUUUCUUUUCAGUUGAUUUGUAUAAAGCAUGGAUCAGUGCAAUAUAUUAUGACCACCAUACUACUCUAGCUAAAAAGAAGGGUCUUUUCUGGGUAGCUAUAGUGUAUGGACAGUGGAUAGAAUUAAUUUACUGCUGACCCAAGUUAAGUAAACAUGGAAACAAAGAGCUUUGAAAAUGAAGAAAUAAUAACAUAUGUUUCUUUUUUAAAAUUAUAAAAAAGAAAAAAAAAAAAAAAGAGCAACCAUUGUAAAUCACAUGUUACUGAUAGCUGAUGGAGAAGUUAUCCUUUCUGUUCAUUUGAAGAAGUUUCUGACUGAUCUUGAUACAUGUGAAAUUGGCUUUGGAUAUGAUGGCAUGAUAAUAGCCAAUUCAAAUUGUGGUUAGAAAAUUUUUCGUUUUAUUUGAAUUAACUUUGACACACCUCAACUAUUUUAUCGGAUACGUGUGUUAUCUUCCACCAUCAUAAGUGUCAAAAUAAUUGACAUGAGAUUAAAACCUUGUGUUUUCGUCUAUAGACAUUUGCAAGUCACAUUUGCUUCACAAAUUUCCUGUUUUUGAAUCCAAUGACCUAAUGAUUAUUCGUUUCCUACGCCACCUCUUCUUGCUUCAUUUCGACUCUUCACAAGAAUUAAGGUGAUGACAUAAACAGACAGAUAAAACAACAGUAGCCACAGGAUCGAGCCCAGCCCGGGGAAAAGCCCUAGCUAUAAAAGGAGAAUGAACUUUCUCCAUCCCGCAACCCUAAUCGUAUCACACUACUUUGAAUUUUCAUUCUUGUUUGAUCCAACUAUAGACUUCUCUGAAGGAAGUUAAAACAGGGUUGAAUGGGAAAUAAUAGACCUGAAAUCUGCUUUAAUAAUGCAAAUAGUUUCUUUGAAGAACUGCUUUUUAUUUAAAUUUUAAACGAACUGAAAAGGUAUGAAUUAAAGGGCAUCACAAAACACAUAAUUACAACAUAACAAGUAGCAGUUAAUCACUUUGAUGCUGACUGAGAGAAGAAAUAGAUGACGCAGAUUCUGUUUGUUGUCCAGCAUUGAUUGGAACAAAAUGAGCACAAGUCGAAUGAAAUUUACAGAGGAUUCACAACGCAGAACAGUUAAUUGAUUAAAACCACAUUCGAUGCACUUCAUCGCAUUGUUCUGCAACUGGAUAAUCAAUGUCAUAGCUGAUUUGAAAUGCAAAUGAUAGUUCGUUGCGAAAUGGGAGAGAUGUUUUCUGUAGAAAGCUAAGGAACUACAGCACGAAUCCGAGCCUCUUGGUCUAGGAGGGAAACAGAAACUUGAAAUUAUCAUUCUAUUCAGUGAUAGUUAGCUAUACUUGAAAGAAGUACAAAAUCGCUACUACAGUCGGAUUAAUGCAAGAUCUUCGUAGAAAAAGCAACUCCUCUUUACAUCAAAUAGAAACAUAUGCUGUUUGUAAUAGCUUUGCCACCUACCUUUGAAUGUUAAGCAUGGUCUUGGCUUCCAUUUGCUCUUCCAUUAAAUCCUCACUAGCAUAUUUGCUUAUAAGUUCCAUCUUCUUCCGUUCCACCACCAUCCUCUCGAUCUCCUUCUCGUCUGGCAAUGGUACAUGUACCACAAAUUCUUUUUCUCUGUCCUGCUCUUCCCUCUCCCUUUCCAUUCUCUCCUCCUCUAUCACAUCCUCUUCCUCCUCGAACAAUAUCUUUGAUCCCAAACCAACCGCUACUACCUCCCCACUCUUCACCGCCUUCUUGGCUUCCCUCUUUAUCUCUUCCAUCUCCAUCCAUUCUCUCACAGCUGCAGCCCGCAUCUUCUCCUCAGCUGGACCCUCCAACUUUUCCAAUAUUCCGUCCUCAUCAUCUCUGUACCCGUAGUAGCUGGCAUCAAUCCUCUUGUAUAUAUCAUACCUACAAAUUUUCCGCAAACAAAUCAACAUCAGAAUUGCCGAAAUAAAUACCUAGCAGAAGAAAAUCUAAAUGUAUCCACAUAAAAAAAAAUUAAGACAGUAAUAUUUAUAGCAUUUUUUAAAAGUGUCCAACAGAGAUUCUUUUAUUCAACCUAAAGAUUGUUUAACACAAUAAAAUGUAAAUGGCUACAUUUCAGAUAUGAUUUUUCCAAGAAUGUAUUCUCUACCAAGUAUGAAGAAAUAUACUGAAUGAAUAGCCAUCUAUGAGAUAUCAUACAAUGCAUAAACAGCAUAAAUUUGCAAAUUUCGAUAAACUAAAAAUUCAUUCAUAUAUAGAACUUCCAACCUACUAUAAUUCACAAUCUAUCCACAUUCCACAUAUUUUAAGAAGUUCAAGUCAAAGUCACUUGCAACCUCUAACUGUUAUCUGUUCACAUUAUAUCUUGAGAAAAAAUCUGAAAUUUCUUUUAAAUUAAAUUACAUUCGUAAUGAUUAUAUAAGAAUGUUAAUCCAGGAAACAGGCCAUAAAAUUGGGGACAAGGCUAGUGGGCUGUAAGAAGUGCUACUUGGCAAGUGUGAUAGCAGGACUAGUAGUGGAAUUAAAUCUUUAAGUGAAACGAUAUUCAGUGUAGCAAAUACCGCCGCUUAUGAACUUGAGCUGCAAGUUUAUAAAACGCAGACUAGUGCACUAAAGCUCCGGCUAUGCGCGAGGUCUAGGGAAGGGCCAAACCACAAGGGUUUAUUGUACACAACCUUACCCUGCAUUUCUGCAAGAGGUUGUUUCCAUGGCUUGACCCGUGACCUCCUCCUCCUGGUCACAUGCCAACGACUUUAUCAGUUACCCCAAGGCUCCUCCCCCCUCCUCCCUCUUCCUGACUGCUUGCUUAUUUGAUAACUGUAAGCAGGCUGGAAGGAGUGCCAUCAGAUGGGAUUGUUGUCAACUUUCUUUUUCUCUACUUUACAGACAUUGAUACAAUGUGCUUCUUGGUGUUCUAAUAAUGCAUCUUCACUAAACUUCAAGGCUUAAGUGAGCUUUUAAUAACAUUGAUUCUAUGCUUCAUAAAAAAUAGGAUUUCACAAUUCAAAAUUUGAAUUUGGUAGUUGGUAAUGUCUCAUCAAAUUAAUUAUGUCAUAUGUUCCCAAUGCAUUAAUGAAUUUUUUUCUCCGAGAAAUAAAAUAUUUUGACAAAGAGACCUUUCCCAGCAUAUCACAUACGUUGCUCCUCUAUCCAUUUCAUUUAGGUUCAUGAUAUACAUCCAUUAACUAUAGCUUCUCCUUUUUAUUUAUGUUCAUACAGAACAUAAUAAAUUUGAACCUUUAACUUAUCCACAAAUAUUAAGAUAAACAAAAAUGGGAAAAAACAUAAGCUGCAUCCUAUAGUUGUCCAAAAGGUCAUUUAGACACUAUUACUUUAUGGGUGACCUAUUAGCCCUAUUCUUAUUUUAGGUGGUACUAAUCCUAAAUUGCCACAUGGUGAAGGCAGUGGGUUUACCUUCAUAAGGUGUGUGAAGGGCAUCUGGAACAUGUUAAAAGGAAAUUGCUUUUGCCACAUGUCAAUGGCUGCUUGCCUAUUUUUCUUUUUCCUUAAAUACAAGUCAUAUUAAACUAGGGACUUUAAGGUAAUUUUACUUCACUCUUCUACACCAUAAUCACACAUUUCUCUAACACUAAUGCGAAGUGCUGGAACCAUUGCUACCCACCACUUCAGUUACCGACCACCGCAACUAUCAAACUAAUUUCACAAACAACCCUUUUCUAACAUAAUGAUAGACUCAUGUUUGAAUAAUUAAUAAAGCCCUCUGAUGAUAGAAUUGAAAUUUCUAUAGAGGUCAUGCAAAAUGAGACAACGGUUGACUAUUAUAUGUGAUGUUAGAUGGUAAAUCUUCCUUUAAUUGAAUUAACGUUGAGAAGUGGUACUCUAGAAACAAGCAUUGUUGGGCCUACAACUAAUUUCUCGUGUAGAAAUUCUAAAAGUACAGCCAGAAAAAAUAGCACUAACCAAUCAAAAUUCUUUCUCAGUGAGAACCCCUUGGACUUGGUUAUAAUCUCUUCAUUACAGAGAAUGGCCAAUUCAUAUAUGAAUUUAAGAAUUUGUCUGGCAGAGCUCUAGAGGUUUCAAUUUGUAUAUUGAAAUCGGAGAUGGAGAUUAAUCGGCAGGGACUUUUCCAGAGAGGCAAUGAUGGAGAGGAAGAGAGUAGAGAGAUGAGAAGAAAGGGGGCUACAGCUGGUUUUAUUUUGGGUAAAAAGACUUUUGUGUCCAAUGUAAUUUGUUGGAAUGGUGAAGUAAUGAAGAUGGUGGGUAUGGUGAUAAUGGUGGUUGGAAUGAGGGUGGAGGUUCAGAUGAUUCAAUGUCUUCUUGGGACAGAAGGAAAAGUCAAAGAUGGGGUGGUGGGUACUGGGUAAUGGUUAUUCCAUUUUUAAGAAGUAGAUAAAAAGAAGAAAAGAUUAUUGUAGAAAAAGUAAGAGAAGAGGCUAGCAAUGUCGCAGAAGAGACGUUUGUCCAAAGGAGGGAAAUAAGUGCUUUUUUUUUACGACGAGGAGGGAAGGAAGUGCUUAUUAAGAGAACUUUAUUAAGUAUUCCUACAUAUUGCAUGUUCCUGUUCAAUGCACCUGCCGUUGUUAUAGGAAAGUUGAAAAGAUUGCAACGGAACUUUCUUUGGGAUGCCGCAGAUGAGGCAAAUAAGAUUAGAUUGGGAGGUGACCGAGCUUCAGAUAUUACUAGCUUUACUUCAAGCAUUAGGAGCCAGUUAACAAACCCAAUGCUUUGAGUUGACAAACCCAAAGUUGUCUUUGUCAAGUCAUUCUAUAAGAAGCUUUUGGGUAGGGCGGAGGACAACUUCCCCUAUGAUGCGGUCUGGGCACCUUAAGGUGCCAAGUAAGUGGUUCUUCUUCACCAAAUUGGCAACUAAGGGGUGUUAUUGAUAACGACUAAUCUUAGGAAAGGGAAGGUUGUUUGCAUAAAUUGGUGUGUAUGUGUAAGGAGGCAGGUGAGGACGUGGUUCAUAUUCUGAAACAUCGCAAACUAUCCAUGAGGUUAUGGUGGGAUAUCUUUAAAUGGUUUGAUAUUUCAUGGGCAAUGACAAAAUCCGGGAAGGAGUUGAUGUUUAGCUGGAAGAGUGGAGCCAAGGGAAGAAGGUGCAAUGCUAGGAACAUUACUCUUCUUGCUUUUUUGUGGGUCAUUUGGCAAGAGAGAAAUAGAAUAGCUUUUAAAGAGGACCAGAUAAGCUUUGCUCGAUUGAGGAGUAAUGUCCGAUCUCUUAUUUUCUUUUGGUGCACCCAUGUAGUUCUGAUUUGUAUAGAGGGUUGUUGUCUUUUUGGAAAGAACCAUAUUUUGCACGUUCUUUUUUUUUUAUAUUUUUUGGGAGUUUAAAGGUAUGUAUGUAAUAUAUAGUCACAUGUGUGCAUAUAACAUGUAUAAGUGUGUAGAUAUAUUAUACAUGCCUAUAUCCAUAUACACCUAUAGGCACAUAUAUACACGCACAUGUGUGUGUGUGUGUAUACAUGUAGGAUCUUGCUAACCUAUUACAUCACCGAAGUAGGUUAACAAUGUGCCCAUUUUUUAUUUCUCUUAAACUUACUUAAAGAUCUCAUUUGUAAUGGGGAUUUUUCCGUCUUUUACCCCAAAAAAUUGAAGACAACCAAAACUUUCUACUCAUAAAAACUUUCCCUGCAGAGGUACCUCCCAGAUCCAAUGAAGCUCCGAUCAUGUCUUCAACAAGUAUUUUUGGGCCAAGGAAAUAUCGUCUUUCCCAUACUUUUAGACAUCUGUUUCCAGAAGGUAGAAAUAGUUGUAGCUUGUAAAAUCAAUUCUUGACUUCUGUUUUUUAGGAUACAGCCCACAAAUUGAACAUGAUCAUUUCUACUGGUAUUCCAUAAUACACUAUACCCAAGGGAUCAUUAAAAAUUUCCAAGUUCUGUGAGCAACAUAUCUUUUACCAAGACAUGUUCAUAGUUCUAUCUUUACUAUAUCAUUUUGUAUUCUAAAUAGAAACUAUUGAAAACCAUAGCUAUCAGUUUAUCAUUGUGUUCCCAUUCUCUCUUUUUUUGUGUUUCCUCCCAAACAAAGACCACACUUGAAGUAACAGAAAAUUUAAGCAAUAGAAAAGCAAUUGAAGCAAGCUAGAUUGAGUUUUUUUGCAGCAGUGGCCGCUAGCUUUAAUUUUAUUGCUUAGUUACAAUCGGGAAAAGAGGAAUUUAUUAGAACUUGGCCAAAACACUGUUGUCAAAUAUAUCAACGAUAUUCAAUAAAGUUAUCAACCAAAAAAAUAAUAAGCAAUUUUAGGAUAAGCCUUAUCCCUAUUUUAAAUUAGUCAAGCAACUACAUGUUUGUGAUGGAAAACCGAAAACCAUGUAAACCAAUCAUUGGUAGUGCACUGACAUGUCCAGCUUCAUCACAUUUAGAUAAAGACAAACAACAAUAAUGCAACCUAUUGCAACCAAUGCGGUAUGACAAUGUCUCUUUAGUUUAGGAUCAUGUCUCCCUUUCCCUGUCUUCCAAUCUCCUUUAAUUGUAAAGAAGGUCUAGGUGGAUUCCUUGGUAGCUAAGUCGAUAUUCAAAAUCCAGCAUUAUGUGUAAGCUUUUGAGAUAGUAAUGCGCUUUCUCCAGUUAAGGAGUAGCAUCUUAUCCCUUAUUUAUUUAUGGUCUUUAUGAUGUGCACAUAACAUUCCUUUAUGCAUAAAAGUUGGGUGUUAGAAAACUCUCUCUCUUGGUAGGUUUUUACUUUUUUGUAUACUUCUUGCAUAGUAUGAUUUUUAGAUUACUAAAAGUUACUACUUUAUCAAAAAGAAUGUAAGAUUUUCGGUGAACUUGCAUUUUAUCAAAUAAAAAUUACAAGUUUGUAACUUUGUAUAUGCUUCUUCUUCUAUCAAUGUAAUCCCUAAAUAUUAGUACAGCUAGAAUUCAAAUCCCAGCUAUCUCGUGAUUAAAUUUUCCGGUACGUUUGUAUCACAAACACAGAUUAAUAUUUUUUAAUAAAUUCCUAUCAAGUUUUCUAUGAAUUCUGGAAAGCUACUCAUGAUACGUAAAAUAACAUUGUAUUAAACAAGCUCAAAUAACAACAUGCCAAGUGUAAUUCCACAAGUAGUGUCCAGGGAGGGUAGCGUGUACGUAGACCUUACCAAUAGACCCUCAGUACAAGUAGAAGCAUUACAAAGCAGUUCGAUUAAACAAACAAAAAAAGGGGAGUGACAAAGCCAAGACAAAAAUGACAAAAAUAUGCAUGACAAAGCAUACUAACACGGAACAAUGCACUACCACAACGUAAUAUGAUAUCAAAGCGCAAGAGAUAGUAAUAGAACGAGGAAUGAGAUAAACAUUAACUCCCAGGGUAAUCCUAGUGAUUACUAGAGUGAAAGACUAACCAAUACAACUUCAAAUUACCUAAUUAUCCCUCUACCCUAAUAGUGUCCUCAGUAAAUCCUAAGCCACUCAAAAAGUCACUUUUACUAAAACAAGAUAACACACUUCGUAUAACCGAACGUAAGCAACUAAAACAAUACCUGGUUCUCCGUUUCCGCAAUUCAGGCGGCUUCUCAAACAACUCCCUAACACCAGGCAACUUCUUUGCAGCACCAAAAUACCUAUACCCAGGACCACGUCCACCAGGAUUCGGUACAUCAACAAUAUUCCCAUCCAAAUCUGUCAUCUUCGCCGAGUGCUUCGUGUAAUUCGGACCACCAAGUUCAAUAAUCCUCCUUUCCCAAUGCACUUUCUCUCUAAUCAACUUAUUAAUCUCAUCAUUCAAAUCUCUCAACCUAUGUUCUCCGAGUCCUUCGUUUUGUAUCUCGGCUACUUUACGGCCGAUUUCGCGCAUUAUUUGUUGCCGCCAUUUGUCCGCUUCGGCUAAAUCGCGACAUUCUGAGGCUAAAUAGGGACGGCGUUCUUUGGGUUUCUUUUUUUCUUCUUCUUUCAUUGUGAUGAAUCUGUUUAACAUUGAUUGAGCUUUCUCUUCGUUACGCGCCAUGGCUGCUGCUUGUGUGGAUUGGAAGAUGCUAAACCCUGCUACGAUGUUUCAGUUGGGAAUUUGGGGGAAAAUUUUAAACCCUAGAAGGAAAGAGAGUAGAAGCAAAAAAGUUCUGUUCGAAUAUCUAUAUAGAGAGAGGGGGGAGAAAAUUAAACAAAAGGUGUUUUUAAUUUAUUUUUUUAGUUUUUGGUGGCUCUUGACCAAGAUUAUAGGUCAAAGACAAUCAAUAUAUAUACUUAGAUUUCUAUAUGUAAAAUAUAUGUGACACAAAUAAAAUUUAAAUAAUUAUAUUUUUAAUGUAUUUUUAGAUAUUUAGUUGUUAAUUAUUAUAAUUUAUAAUAAUUUUUAUGUAAUUUCUAAAUAAUAUAUGUUACUUUUCUUAUCUAAAUUUUUGGGCAUUGAUAGUCAAUUAUAUUUUUAAAAUAGUUUGAGUUUUUAAUUAUUGUGAUUUAUAAUACCUUUUCUUGUAUUCUAAUUUAAGUCUGAGAUAAUUUCAAAAGUCAAUCAUAUAUCACGAUUGAAGUAGCAAAGUAAACAUAUCUUAAAUGACUUAUAAUAACUAAUUAAAAAUGAUAUAACAGAGUUGCUACAAAAAAUAUUUAAGUGGGUCUUAUAUAAAAUGUCAAGUUAAUUUUAAACAACAAGAGUUAAUUUGUAUCUAUUUUUCCUUUUUUUAUUUAAUAUGAUCAAAUUUGUAAUACUUACAUGAAUUAUAAGAAUUAAUUAGGUGUGAUAUAAUAAAAUUACCAUUGAAGCAGCUAAAGCAGAUAUGUUAUAAAUGUCUAAUUUGCUUUUUCUAGUAAACAUAAUUAAUUUUAUAAUACGUAAGAUCCAGCCAAAUAUCAAAAUCUGGUGAAUCGGAUAUGUAUUAAAUAACUCAUAAUAACUAAUUAGAAGUGUAUAACAAAAUUACUAUAAAAAAUAUUUGUGAAAAAAAUUUAAGUGGGCCUAUGUUAAUUAAUUUAAAACAUCAAGAGUUAAUUUAUUAUUUUAUUUCUAUUUUAUUUAUAUUAAAUAUUAUUAUUUUUUUAAUAUCAAGAUGACUUAUAAUAAUCAAUUAGGAGGUGAUAUAGUAAAACUAUAAUUGAAACAAUUAAAGUAAAUUUGUCAUGAUUAUCUAUUUUAUUUUUUUAUUAAAUAUUAUUAAUUAUUAAAUAUAUAAAUGACAUAUAAUAAACUAGUAAGCAGUAGUGUGUGCUUCUUAGCAUUUCUAAAUUCUAAAUAGUAGUAAUAUGUAAAGGAGGAUAAUAAAAAUCUGACGCGGCAUCAUAAAGGAGGAUAAUAAAAAUCUCACGUUGAAUUCAGGAUUGGUAUUUCUCUUUUUUCUAAGAUUUUUUACUUUUUUUUCAUUUUAUUACCAUUUAAUUAAUUACUUCUUCCGUUUCAGAAUAAGUGAAUUAUUAGAAAUAUUUAUUAGUGUUUUAAAAUAAGUGAAUUAUUAAAUUUUUUUUUAAAGUUAACCUUGUGAUUUGACUAUUAAUUAAUUUUUAAAAAGUUAUUAAAGAUCAAUUUUUACUUUUUGAAGAGUAAAAAUAAAAAAUUAUAUUAAAUUUAUAUCUUUAAAACAUCACUUGGAGUUAUUAGGGUUACAACCGUUCCACAUCCCUGUAGCAGUUACAUAUCCUUUCAGAAAUAAACCUUCUGAAGGAGAGAUCUUCAAUAAUCACGUGUAGAGGUAGGUGAAGAAGAUGUGAAAAUCAAUUUUAUGUAUCAGGUAGAAAUUAUGGGAAUGUUUUGUAUGAAAUGAUGAAUAUGAAGUUCGAUGAAGUGAUGAAGAUGAAGCAACUAAAGGUUACUUUUUACAAAAAUGGCUCCCUCUUUCAUUUCUACAUAUAUGUGCAUGAACUAUAUAAAUGCUAAUUCGAAAAUUGUACGAAUUGUGUUAAUGUCCUUUUUAAUUUUUGUAAGUUAGAUGUUUAGUAUUAAUGACCCUAAAGUUGGAUUUGGAUUCUACUCCAAAGUGUUGGGCAUUUGGUAAGUCUUUAAUCUAGAUUUGUAUUAAAAAUGUGAUUAUUUGGAUAAAAAAUUGUUUUAAGUUAUGUAAGUGGCAUGUUGCUGCAAUUGCUAUUGCUACAGGGAAGAGUAACAGUGGAGAGCUCAUAAUUUUUAAUCCCUUGCUACGAGGCAUUUGACCGAUAUGUGAAACUCGAAGGGACUAAAGGUUAUAGUGGCAUACGAACGCACGGGUGGAACAAUUGUAGGAAAAUCUAUCUUUUGGCUGUCCGAUAUAUUCACGUAAGUCAUUCUUAAUACAAAACUCAAAGGAGUUGUUUAUUUGUAGAGUAUCAUGAACAACAACUAAUGACACUUGAAGUUUAGGACAGGAUGGACAAGAAGAAAUGUGGAGAAAAAAAAGGAGAAUUUCUCAAUUGUAUAGAGUAUCAUAGUUGGUUGAUUUGAUUUUCUGAAUGACUGCAUCUAAUUAUAAUAUUCUAAUUGUGUUACUUUGUGACUUCAUGAAACUCAUUAUUGUCAAACCUACUUAGAUCUAAUGAUAAAUCCAGAAGUUUGAAUUAUAUUCAGGACUUGCGCCACAAUUAUUUCGUACAGCAAGAAUUUUCUCAAUUAUCUUGGAUUUCUAGAGGUUUUAAUCCUGUAACUAACCUUUUUGAUGAUGAGUUAUUCUUUUGGACUAAUAUGUUCUUUUCUCACUGCUUUUCAAUUUGUUUUAGGUGAAAACUUGUGCUGGAGGAGCUGGAGUCAGACAUAUGGUACUCAUCAUAACCGGUUGGACAGCAACUAUUCAGGUCUGUUUCCUGAAGCUUUAUCAUAAGAAGUUACGUUGUUGAUGAAUUUGAUCAUGUUUGUGAGAUCUAAAAGUAAUUCAAGAAUGAAGGAAUGGAUUUAACUUACUGCCCUGAUUCACAAUGCGUGAAUUUUAUAUGGUUUAUGUUGAUGAUACAAUGAUUUGAUGGAUUUGACACAACAACUACGAUCAGCAGGGUUGGAUACUCGGAUUCAUGGUAUGGCCCUCAAAAAAUUAUAUUAUAUAUAAGGCAAAAAUUAUUGUUAAUGCAUAUAUAUAAUAGAUGUUGAAUCUUUUUAAUUUUUCAUGUGUUUACCGCUUUAUAUUUUAGACCCCUUAGUUUUUAAUGAGUAUAUAAUAGAUGUUGAAUCUUUUUAUUUUUUUCAUGUGUUUACCAAUUUAUAUUUUGGACCCCCUUAGUAAAAAUCUUGACGAUUUUGCUUUGUAUUCAUCUUAAAUCUGCUGAUAUAAUUUAAAGCAACAGGUGAUAACCAAUUAUGUAGCUAAUUUGAUUUUUGCAUGUUGCUCUUUGAUAUGGUAAAAAAAUCAAUUGUAAGCCAAAAAAUAAGGUACCAAGCUGAACUAGGAUGAUUAGAUACUCUCUGUGAUUGUGAAAAGUGGUCCCUGAUCGCAAUCUUGGACAG
rnacentral:lncRNA from 1 species